rnacentral:lncRNA from 1 species
UUUAGUGAGAAUCGCCAAAUAUCAUCUAACGAACACUGAAAAGUUACAUUUGAAAAGUAGAAUGAGCACAAGCAGCCUAACACCAACGACACUGCAAACGGAGACAACUUCUGAUACUAGAAAUGAUAUUCAUAACUGGAUUGCAAGCAUGGUCUCAAGUUGCAAAAUACUGAAACAAGAAUGAACUGGUUCUGAAUACUCAUCGACACAAGACUCUGACAUCUAAAGCAGUAUGAUUCUGGUACCCAAAAAAGUGAAGAUUGACCGAUAACAGCAAAUGUGACAAGGGUGCCGAAAACUCCACGGCUUAAACCUUGAAGCCCCUGCUGUUCCUCCUUCCUCUUGCCUUCUCGAAUUUCCUGCCCUUGGAGCGGACAUAUGGCUUGGUGUGGCUGUGUGGCACUCCUGGAGCCUUGCCAAAGUGCCUAACAGCCUCCCUGGCGUUCUUGGGACCCCUCAGGAGAAGCUAUUAAGAAAAUGUAAACUGUUAAAAUGGUUGUCUAUGGCAUUUAUCCAUGAAUAACGCUUCAAAAGCAUGCAGCUCAUAUUGAGGUUCAUCACUUAUUUAUGGGAAGGGGGAAACCAUCAUCAUACCACAUGUUUGACACAUCUCAAAACAAAAGAAAAAGGAUACCGUAAAUCAGAGCAAAUACCUCUACAUGACUACAAUACCAAAGAUUCUAGCAUCAGUAGCAUGUACUAAAGUCUAAAGACACGGCAACGCAAUGAAAUCAUAAAGACCAUGUCAAGAAGGAACAGCGGCAACAACACACACACUGAAUUAUCACGUACUCCCUCUGUCCGGAAUUACUUGUCGUAAAAGUGGAUGAAUCUAGACAUAUUUAAGUUCUAACACAUACAUUUCUAUUCAUUCCGCGAAAAGUAUCCAGGACGGAGGGAGUACUAUGAAUCAACAAAGAUUUACAUUACUAUUUAUGCAAAGAGAACAUAUGCAAGUUUUAAACAACUCUUAACAAAGGAAAAUAAAGUAGACAAGACCUUGUAACCAAGACCGCAACUACUACCAUAAAAUAAGCAUAUGUACAUAUUUGACCAUUAAGAUUGACUUUCUCAGUGAAAAGAUAUAGUAGUUAAAUAAUCAUCAACAAGUUAGUUAAAGUUGGAAAUUUGACCAGCUGUCCAGCACAACCAUGAAAAAACUGCAAUUGGCUGUAGGUACACGAUAUAGAUUUAGACAGAUAUAUCAACUUCGUUUAUGUGUACCCUUAACACCUGACAAUAGGAAAACCGAUGAAUCAGAAAAAUAAUACAUCGUUCCUUGAAUACCCUACCACAACCUACACCUAAAAGUCUCUCUGUAACACACUAUGAGCAUGAACAAUAAACUUGGUUUUCUCCACCUGCAGGAGUCUAGCAUACUUAAUAGUUCAAACAAUAUAAUUGUCUGCUUCGAUUGUAAAGCUUUGGAUACUACCUCAUGCAAUAUAAAAUGCAUCAAACAGCAAUAUUAGCAAAUACAGUAGCUAAAAAAGGAGAACUCAAGCCAUACCGUGUUCUGUCCAAGCGGAGCACGGAGCGCGAGCUGGUCAAAGGUAAGGCACUCGCCACCGGCAUUGACAAUCCUGGCCCUCGCCGUCUCGGUGAACCUGAGCGCGGCCACCUUCAUUGCCGGUAUCUCGUAGACCCUCUGGUCAUCGGUGAUGGUGCCCACUAUCACAGCGAUCUUGUCCUCCUACACGCGUGUCACAACCACAAACACCGCCCAGGUAAGCUUCACAUGGAUUCAUCCUGACCAAAGGUAAACAAAAAAUGGCACCGCGCGCGAGAGAGGGAUACCUUCCCCUCCAUGAACCUGACGAGGCGGCGCAUCGAGAGCGGGGGGCGGUUGGUCUUGCUCAUGAAGAGGCGCUUCAGGAUCACGGCGUUGAACUGGCUCUUGGUCCUCCGGACCAGGAAGCGGUAGAGCUACGAACAGGAAAUCCAAUUGCGGUAAAUCUGAAUCCCUGAGCAGUAGACGGGGGUGCUGCGGUGACACCGGAUCGAAGGGGGACUGACCUUGACGAGCAGCUUGAGGUACACAUCGUCCGAUUUGGGCGCCGUGCGCUUGGUCCUCUUGUUGCGGCCGCCGGCGACGAGGUCGAUACCCUGGGUGCCACGGGAACGGACGGUGUCAGCUAGGCGUACAGUUCAGAGGAAGACGAGGAGGAGGGAGCGGAAUGAGAGAUUACCAUGGUUGCGCGGUGGAGGCUGCAGCAGCGGCGAGGGUCAGGGCGGCAGCGGCGGCGGCGGGACUGGUGCUAGGGUUUUGGAUGGAGUGAGGAGUGGAGUCUAAAUAUGGUGGUGUGGGCGGAGAAUCGUUUGGGCUGGGCCUAAAUUGGUGGUCUUUGUUUCUUUCGUUUGGGCCCAAAGAAGCCUUCCUUGUUCCUUAACGGAUGACGAGUUUUCCCUCAAAAAAAAUAAAUCAAGUGAAGAGCUUAUUGCCUCCAAAAGAUGGUGAAGAGCUUAUUUCCAAAAAAAAGUAAAAGUGAAGAGCUUAUUGUGCUGGCGAUAGCCAGAUGAUAUUUCUCUCUCUCUCUCUCUCCACUUGGAACAUGUGAUCAAGGUGAGUCGUGCACUCGUGCUCAACUAUUUGAAGUUUGGAUGUUCAGACAGACGAAAAUGGAGAAGAACCUUUUCAUUCGAUCAUGUAAUAUUUCGUUUGCCAUCUUGCGAUAAGGAGGUGGUACAUUUUUUUUUGCAACGAUGAGGCUUCUGUUGGUGCUUGGUGGAGCUGACUUAUGCGCCGGUGGUUUAUUGUUUUGUUGUGAUUUAGAGUCGGAAUCACAGUGCAAAACCUGGUGUUAUGUCUUUCUUGUUACUAUAAAUCAUUAGGCACCCAUCGCAAAAAAAGAAGAGAAGAAGAUUAGGCACGCUUUGUAGCACCGGGAACAUGUAGGCUUGACAUGCGUUAGGAACUCUGAAGUAGAUAGCACAGCAGAAAAAGAGACAUGGAUCAGCCCAAAUUCCACCCAUAACUUGCUGAGGGGCUUAGAACUGCUCUAAUAAACACAUGCAAGGAAAUUGUGCACCAUUGCGCUAUUGCUAUAUGAUUUGUUACGGCUCAUGGCUUGCAGAUGACAAAAUAACCAGCAUACAACAUUUUAUGGCCUGGUCAAAACAGAUUAUUCUCACUGGACUAGAGCUCCUUGGUGAUGCAUUAAUUUUACGUGUGGUUUAUUGUUACUUUCAGUAAACAACCUGCUCUUCCCAUUUUUCCCACUGGAGCAGAGUACUGACAUUUGCAUAUCUACUAUAGGUCUCUGGAUUCUUGUCUUUCUCUAACCACCAUGGUGGACAAAAUAAUCUGAAAUCCAAUUGUAUGAAGCACAUCUGAGAUGGCCUUUGUCCACCUAGAUGCACCAACGUAAUAAAGGCAAAAGCACGAAGCAAUGGAGAUGAAGGGAAGCAACAGAAAUUACCUUGUGGUAUCUGAGAUGUGGCGACGUGGACCGAAAACAAAAACAAACAAAACUGAAGCUGGUAACUUCUACAGUAAUACACAAUGACAUUCAUUUAGAUGCAUGGACGAGAGAAAAAAGAGUUGUGAUGCCAAUAAAGAUUGCAUGUCAGAACAGUUCACCAUGUUAAAUGAGAUGACUACUAUCACAUCUAGGCUGUCAACAAAAAGAAGACAACAAUGGGUAACUACAUUAGUCAUUUUUGUUACACUGCACAAAACCAAACCAAUACUCUUCUCUUUGGUGCUUUGCUCCUCAUCAUACUUUCUAGAGUUCUAGUUUCUUUCCAACCUUUAUAAGACUGCAAUCAUCUAUAACAGAAGUAACCAGCAAAGAAAGCAGAGGGGGGGAAGUUCAACCACUCCCGAUUACAUCCUAAAGCAAAGGUAGCCACAGCUCAAAAUCUCUGGCAUACGAAACCAAGCGCAUUACAGAAGCAAAAAACAACAGCGCUAUGCUCGAACACCUCAGUCAUGACUAGCAAAUCAAGGACAGAUGAUCUUUAUCUCCAGUCUUGGGACCCAAAAGAUCCAACUACUCCUCGCACGGAACACCUCAGCUUUGACUAGCUCCAGUGAUCUUGCUUGUUGUUUUCAAGAGUCCUUCACCUGCCAAAUCAGACAAACAAUCAAUUCAGUAAACCACUCGAAAAAUGACAUCAAUGGGUUCAGCAGGCUACUUCUGCUGGAAGCAUGCAAGGUUGUGUGCUUUCCAUAUGUACUCUAGAAGACAGAUGCUACCCCAACAGUGCAGACCGUCCUAGAUUCAGCCCCCAUGCCCUUUAGCCAAAUAUGGAAGCAUGAUUCAGGAUCACUGAAAUUAAACCCUAUCCCAGUUGACACACCAACAACAUUCCAUACAAACCUAGCAAGGGGACAAUAAGAAAAUAAGUGCUUGAUACUCUCAUUCCGUGCAAUCAAGUUUUCGGAUCAUCCUAGCCUCCAGGAAAUCAAGGUUACAAGCUUCCAAAGCAGCAAAAGAAACAGGGACUCCUAGGUACUCAAGGGGAAGAGUUCCAACAGGGCAGCCAAAAACAUCAGAGUAAAUUCAGCAACUGAAUUUCCCCCCCUCUUAGAAUAGUUCAAUUUCAGUCCAGACAUAAGCUCAAACAUAUAAACAGAAGGCUGAGAUUAAUAGCUUUAUCAGGAUCAUGACUAACACAUAAAAUCGUGUCAACCUUAACUAGAAUGUGUAAUUAGAAUUAAAAUGAGCAAUCUGGAUAGGACCAUUUGACAUCACAAAGCAUCAACUGGCAUUGGUUUAAUAUCAACAAAUCAUGUCGUGUUCUUGGAUAUCUUAGGUCUAUUCUAUGGACAUGUUGGAUUCAUUUAUGUAAGACAAGAGUUGCGUGAGUAGAAAAGAGUCAAGAUAAGGUACUCUUGAAUUGGGCAUAGGUUAGGGCGGACAUAAAUGACAAUGAAAUGAUAGAUUCGGAAGACUUUAAUAGAUUACACAUGUACUAAGACCGAGUGCAACCCAGGCAAAAGGUUAGAUAAAUUUGGAUAUGGUAUGUGUGCAACUGUCAUAACAUACUAAAUAUUGUUCUGGUAGCAAGAGUAAUGAUCUGACACACAAAAAUCAUGUUAAGUACGUAAUAAGUUGGUUCAGUUAAGCGUAAAGAUACAAGUACCACAAAGUCACAUGUACACACAUUCAGAAUGUAAACUAUGAUUCCCCACAAAAAAAAAUGUAAACUAUGAUAGCAGCAAAGUGAAAUGGGAUAUUUUAGAAGUUUUCAGAGAACGUAUUCCUAUAAUUUUGCAUGAUAGCCAUGACAGUACUAUAUAUGAAACUGAAAUCAUAUUUGUGAGUAUGUGAAUCAAGAUGAUGUGAUUGAAUGACCACGCCCCACCAAAGCAAGUUACGCUCAAUCUCGCUGAUAACUAGAUUUUCAUAGACAACCAGAUAGAGCAGUUAUAAUGUUAUACAAAAAUCUACAGUACGUGACAUACCCACAAUCAAAUCAUUAUGUGAAUUGCAACAUGCUGCUAACAGCACAACAUUACAGUACUAAUCCAAGCGCGAUUACGAACUCGAUCCACAUUGCAAACUCUAAGACCAGGUUGAGGAGCCCUUCCUGAUGCACCCCGGCGGCCUUUCCGACCCCAGACUACGGCCAUGAGCGGAGAGGAGAGGAGGGGAGGGAGCGGCGGUUCGUACCUACGCGGAACUGGCGUCGUUGUCUCGGUCGACACCGGGAGAGGUGUCUGGAGUCGCGGACGGAUCGGAGUCGGUGGCCGCGCCGAGCACCCGAGGGGCGGGGCGCCCUGGGUCGGGAUUGGCCCCUGCGGACUCGCCGAGGGAGCCAACCCCCGGUGUGGAGGAGGCGGCGGCGGUGUCGUCGUCUCCCCGCGCCCUCUUCACGCCCCGCGGCGCGGCUUCCACGGAGGGAGACGACGAGGUUGCGGAGGCAGGCGUCGCGGACGAAGAGUGGUCGGCGUUGGCGGCGGCGGGCUUGCCGACAUCAGCGAAGGAGUCCGCGCGGGCACCGGGGGUCGUGGAGGCAGAGGCGUCGUCGGGGUCGUCGUCGUCGUCGUCGAGCCCGUGCUCUUCCCUUCUUUUUUGCGCUUGGCGAUAGCGAGCUCUUCCCGAGCGUUCCAAUCAUCGAAUAAUCGCAGGAACGUGGGGGAGAGCUCCUCGUCCAUGGCGGUGGUGUCCUUGUAGAGGCCGAAGACGUGUCCGGGGAAGUCCGGGUCGCCUGACACGGCUGCCCCGACCAGAGCCCACGUCCCGUCCCCCGAGCCGGUCACGCCGACCAGAGCGCGAGGGCGGCGGUCCGCCGGGUCAAACUUGGAGGAGAUGGCGCCGUCGAUGGGGGGCAAGGCGGAGGGGUCGAUGGGGGACAAGGCGGAGGGGUCGAUGGGGUCGAUGGGGUCAGCGUCGGGCCCGCCCAUGGUCGGCGGGCGCUGGUGCAAGCAGGGCGGGCGCCCGGCGGUGGUUGCGGCAGCGCGGGCGGGAGGCUGGGGAAGCGGUUGCGGCAGCGCGGGCGGGCGGGAGGUGGGGGGAGCGGUUGCAGAUUUUUUUUCAAAACUAUCACCUUUUUUAUAGCUAAUUCGGAAACUAUAGUACCCAUUGCGAAUAUACCAGAAAUAUGACCCUGUCGGUCUCGUGGUGGCCGAAGUGGUAGUUUUCGGCCAGAACUAGGCCGAAAAGGACUUUUCGUCCAGCUGUAGGCCGAAAUGAAUCUCAGUUGGGCCGAAGAGGUCUCGUCGGUUGGGGCUGGGCCGAAAAUAGUAGCUUCGGCCAGGCCUAGACCGAAGUGGGCCGUUUUCGGCCAGCCUGCAGCCAAAAAGCUUUUCGGCCAGGCCUAGACCGAAAAGGUCUGGAUAAGGCCAAUCCCGUCGUCGCCUUCCUCUUCCUGCUCGCCUCUUCUUUCUCUCGUUCCUCUCGUUCUUCUCUGUAGAGCUCCGGUCUCCUCCCUGAUCUCCUCCAAUUUGCACUCAUUUACACAACCAAGGCACAGAAUAGAUAGAUCAUAGCAUUCUCCACCGGCCUAUGGUGUUUUUUUUGUUAUGGGAUAGUUUUUUGUGCGCUUGGGGGAGGAGCCAUGGUUGGGUGGAGGAGGUCCGGUUGGGAAGGAGGUGGUGGUGAGGAGGAGCAGCAGCUGUGGAGGAGGAGGUGGUGAGGAGGAGGAGCAGCUUGGGGGGUGACCGGAGUUGAACCUCCGGCCGUCGAGUGGGCGGUGCUGCCGUUGUCCGGUGGCCGGUGCCGGUGACCGGAAGAGACGCACGCUUCGAAGGUAUAACCAUGGCGUCACAAAUUUUCUCUAAAUUGUAUAGUUUAUUAGUUAGUGUUAAUAUGUUUGUGGUGGCAUUUUAGCGCGUAGUCAGUGUAGCGGGUAAUAUUAGUGUUCGUUGUGAUUAAUGAGAAGAUGACAAUGUCUGACAGGUGAAAAUGUCUGAAUCAGUAAAUUUGACUGUUUACUACGGCGCUGGUAACGUUCGAUAUAAUGAGUUGGGAGUUGAUCUUAGCGAGUUUAAAAAUGGCGUCAUGACACUAGCAGACCCGGACAGACUGGACAUUAGACAAUUGAAGUACUGGUUGACAACUAGUUUCGGGCUUGAUCCUGAAGUAUGUUCCGUCAGUAUUCACGCAUUGUGGACCAAAUCUUGUAAAAAUGUCAAGUGGGAGUUGAUGUCGGUAGAUAGGAGCCAACAUUGGUUGUCCCUGUUAAGACGCUGCCGAGACCGAAGAAUCCACCCAUAUGUACUUGUGCAACCUGUGCCGAAGGAGGAGAAUGCCGUACAACUCCACAGGGGGUAUGAAACCGGUCAGGGCAGUGAAGUGGCGACCGAGAUUGUUUUAUCCGGGUCACAGCCACAAGAUGUGUAUGCUAGCCAACCCGAGAAAGAGUCGGAGUACGUGCCACACAAUGUUUGUGGUCCUGAUACUGGGCAGAGUAGCCAGUCGAUAAUAUUAGCUGGUUCUGGUUUUGCUGAUGGGGAUGAGGAAGGGGAUGAAAUGCAGAGGGUGAUGGAGCAAGAGGACGAGGAUGGAUUGGUGGAGGAACUGGAUUCUGAAAAUUCUGAGGAUGAAGUGGAGGUACCGAUUCCUUCUGCAUGGGAGCAGGACAUAUCCACUGGCCUUACGGUCAAUGAUGGCCAUGAGACUCCAUGGCAGUAUAAUCUGAACCAAGUACAGAUAGGGGCUAUGUUUGAUACAAAGAAAAAAUUGAAGUAUGCGGUGAUAAAGUGGGCUAUGUCUACGCAGAGGGUUUUCCGGACACACAUAUCAAGUCCAACAAACUAUACCGUGAAAUGUGUUGAAACAAGUUGUCCUGGGAAGGUGCACGGGCAUGUGCCGAAGUAUGACAUCCACUGGGUUGUCACCAUUGUCGUCCCACAUAAUUGUGUGAGGAAGAACCUGUUGGUGAAGCAUCCGAACCUGACUUCAAGUCUCAUUGCGCAACUCAUGUAUACUGAGAUAGUAGAGAAGAAAGAUAUGGAAGCAAAACACAUCCAGACAGCAGUGAAGGUCAGAUGGAAUUAUGUCAUUCCUUAUGGGAAGGCUUGGAGGGCUAAGCAGAAGGCUAUGGAGGAAAGGUUUGGGACGUUCUUCGACUCAUAUGAUAAUGUUGUCCGUCUCUUGGGCAUACUGAAGGAGAGGAAUCCCGGCACUUAUGUGAAUGUACAACACAUGAGGUUGCUGAGUAUACCAGAUUUCAAGGUGUUGAAACAAGUGUUCUUCUCUUUUGGUAUGUGCAUCGAAGCUUUUCGGCAUUGUCCUCCUGUUAUGUUUGUGGAUGGUACAUUCCUGAUCGGUCAGUAUAGAGGGCAAAUUCUGACUGCUAUUGGUGUGGACGGGAACAAUCAAAUCAUCCCACUUGCCAUGGCAUUUGUGGAGGGUGAGAACUUUCUCAGCUGGGUAUGGUUCUUCCGCCAAGUGAAAAUUGCCAUCGUGAAGGACCGACCAAACGUGUGUGUCAUUCAUGAUAGACAUGCUGGUAUAUUGAAGGCCGUGAAGACACUUCGUAAUCCAACAGAUGAGAACCAACACCUUGGAGGGACUUGCAGAGCCGGUGGUGCAUGCGCCAUCUUGGGGCUAAUUUUUUCUCACAGUUCAAGAACAAGCGGUUGAUGAACUUGUUCAAAACAUUAUGCAAGCAGAGCCAACAGCGCAAAUACGAAUUUAUUUGGUCAAAACUAGAUGAGUUUACUAAGAAGCAGGUCCGUGCGAGGAAGAAAAUGGAAGAAGAUCAAGUUAAAUUAGCAGCACUCAUUGCGGAGCUAGAGGAGCCAGUAGGUCUUUGUGACUUGCCAGCAAUUGACCCUCCUAAUACUAAGAGAAAGAAGGGAAGGGCAAUAAAGAAUUUUUCUGAGUGGAUAGAGAAAGAGCCUCCAGUGAAUUGGUCUUUGCUGCAUGACACACAUGGAGCUAGGUAUUGCCACAUGACAACCAAUCUUGCAGAGGUGUAUAACUUUAUGCUGAGAGGGAAUAGAGCAUUGCCACUCACAACUAUUGUGGAGGCUGUAUUCCACGGCACUUUGAGAUAUUUCAGAGAAAGGCACGAGUUAGCAAAGAAGCAUAUUGAAGAUAAUCAGAACACACCUUAUUGUAGCCGUGUCAUGGAAUACAUGGCAAAGAAGAUAGAGAAAGCAAAGAAGCACACUGUCAGACUCAUAGGGAAUCAAGAAAGGAGGUAUGAGGUUCAGCUUCCUACCGAUGGUUUUGGUUCUGGAAAUGAGGUGAAGACACACGAGGUAAAAAUUGGAACGGAACUUUAUCCAACGUGUGAGUGUACAUGCAACAAACCGAAGUUGUUGCACCUACCUUGCUCUCAUGUGUUGGCUGCCUGUGGCCAGAUUGAGUUGGAUGCUAUCUCCUUCGUGUCCCCAUACUUUUUAAAAGAGGCAGUGCUCAACACCUGGACAGGCGAGAUGACAGGGUUUAGAGUCGUCGGCAAUUUUAACAAGGUAAACGACGGUGAGAGAGUAUACAUCCCGCAUCCAGACCUUCGGCGAACAAGUAGGGGCAGACGAAAGGCCCGUCGCAUCCGGAACGAUAUGGACCAGUCUGAAGCUGGUGGGGCAACCAAGCAAUGUUUGUUAUGCGCGGCUUAUGGGCAUAGGAUGAAAUAUUGUCCCGACCUGAACAAAGAUGGUGCUUCCGCAUCGACGAGUGCUUCCACAUCGACGGCUGCGACAACAAGAGCAAGAGGCGGACAUGGUCGUGGCAGUCGAGGCCGAAGGGGCGGACGAGGAAGAAAUAACUCACAAGCUAUAUAAUGUGUCGUAGGGCGAACGAGGAAGAAAUAACUCACAGGACUAUGUUUUAAUUUGUAAUAUGUCAGGACUAUGUUUUAAUUUGUAAUAUGUCAGGACUAUGUUUUAAUUUGUAAUAUGUCAGGACUAUGUUUUAAUUUGUAAUAUGUCAGGACUAUGUUUUAAUUUGUAAUAUGUCAGGACUAUGUUUUAAUUUGCACCUGAGAUUUGUUGUUUGAAUUGCAGAUAUGUCUUUGUAUCCGUUGCUUAAUGGUAACAUCGAUAGAAAGCACCGGGGCGCCCUAUUGGAAGCGGGCAACAACUUAGACGUGUUGGUCACUCGUACCCCAAAGACUAACUGGCUGAUACACGAUUCAUGGGUUGAUAGGUAUGUGUGCAUAUAAUGGAGUCCAUAGAAUGACUUACUAUGUUUGACAUACUUUUCAUAGCCGCUAACAAUCUUGUUAUUUUGUAGGUUAAGUUGGGCUGGACUUCUACCCUUGGCACGGCUGGUUGAGGGUACAUUGGAUGAGUGGAUUGAUGGUCCGGCCUUAGAUGAGGCAGGUGAACCAGUGCAGUUACACAAGAGGCAAGUGAAACAUUUCUGUUAUGACAAGUCACUCCUUACCUGCUUAGUAGAUAGAUGGAGGCCAGAGACACAUAUGUUUCACUUUCCAUGGGGAGAGAUGGCGCCUACUUUACAUGAUGUGUCUUACUUGUUGGGAUUACCUCUGGCCGGUGCUGCCAUAGGUCCCUUAGAGGCAGAAUCUGGGUGGCAAACAGCGAUGCAGACUCGUUUUUUGGCUGCGGUCCCGACUGCUAGGGCCAUAGACAACGAUCCUCAUGGACCUCUUUUUAGAUGGUUGAGCCAGUUUCAGGUAACCAUCACAGGCCACUUAAACAAAUGUUGUUUUUUAGUUGCCCGAUUUUCAUACAAUUAUUACGUUUCUAUGUAGAUUGUCUCGUUAGGAUAUCCCGAUGUUCAGUUGUCGGAGGCACAGAUUGACCGGUCCCUAGAGGCAUAUAUUCUUUGGCUGUUCGGCAAGACGAUGUUUACGGAGAACCACGUGACCACUGUCGAUGCACGACUCAUCAGUAUUGCACGAGAGAUAGCUGACGCACGUUGCCCUGCGGAUAUUCUACAGAGGAGUUUUGGUUCUGCUGUGUUAGCGGCUACGUACAGAUUUCUGGAUUAUGCACUAGAGAUCGGCACUUUUGGAUGACCAAGCCCAAGUUGGUGUUCGAUGUGACGGUUGAGGAGAUGUCUCUUCAUAGGAUGAUGAGACAGUUCGGUCUAUAUCAAGAGCCUGAGAUUCCAGAUAUUCCACACUUGCCAGACCACGUGCACAAGUAAGUACUAAUACUAUUUUAGUUGUCAGCUAUACAUUCAUAAUAUACCUAAUCAUGUAUCGUGCAUAUCAAUAUCAGGGACAGUCGCCUAGGAGGAAACAAGUCGAUGGAUUACUGGCUUAAGAGCAUUACCCCUUACGUUGACGAAUGGACUACCGCUGCGACAAAUAUCUGGGGUGAGGUUCGGGCCUUUAACUGGGAAAUGUUCGGGUUGUAUCUGCAGCGUUACCGGCAUACAACGAGGAUCUACUUGGUUCCAUCAGCUGCUACUGAUCAGAUCGAAGCCCCUCUCACCAGCGAUAUGUACCCAACUGCCUCUGUUGUGGGAACCAGACACCACGCGGUAAAUGCCUUGGUUCUUAUAUGUUGAGUCUUUUGUUAAACUGGGAUGUCUAUUCGUGGUGUCUAUCAUACAACGAGGAUAUAAUUGGUUAACUCUUCAUCUACAGGGUGACUUGACAGUACAAGCGCGAGAGGAGGUUUCCGCUUUAAUGCGGCGCUAUCAGAGGGGAGAAACUAUCCCACCGCGAGAGGGCGUCUCAUAGUUGAGGCGUCUUGAUGACAAGCUACGCGGGAUUUACGCAGCUGUUACGUGUAGACGGUCUUCGGAUGUUGCACUUCCUCCUCCAGCACAUCGUCCGCCACGUCCCUCUGUACAACAUUCAGAACCACGACCCUCUGUGCACCGUUCACAACCACGACCUUUUGUGCACCGUGAAGAACCUCAUCCUUCACAGCCAGGGAGCUCUUCCUGGCAUGAGCCACCUCCUUCACAGCCAGGGAGCUCUUCCUGGCAUGAGCCACCUCCUUCACAGCUAGGGAGCGCUUACUGGCAUCAGCAGAUGGAACUAGGUAACCCUACUCACUACAUUCUUUUCAACAGAGUAGUAAUCGUUCAUGCAUUUGUAUCAAUUUUACAUGUUUUACUUUACCGCAGGCGGCAACCAGUCGCAACCGUUCAUGCAUUCAGAGCAGUCACCCAUCCUUAGUGGUGGUGCUGAUUACUUUGAGGGCGACCGCGAGGAUGAUGACCAUGCUACAAACAUUUAUGGCUUCUCGCAGAUAGUGUUUCACACUCCACCACCACCACCGACGCAGGAGACACAGACCGUGACAGACGAAGUUAACUAUGGUCGUGGUUAUCGCGAGCCUCGUCCAUCGCCUCAGCGCUUAUCGCCUUCCGGUCCUCGCCCGAGGAAGACCCAUACUCGUCGCCGUCCCCCGCAGUGAUAUGCUUAUCUAUCUAUGUAUGACUCAUUAUCUAUGUUAGUUUCAGACUAUUCGCAUAUGUGUGUCAGUAUUUAUGUAUGAGACAUGCUUCAUGUAUGUGUUACUAUCGCACUUCCUUCUAUCUGAUCAGGAGACAUAUUGUUUUAUGUAUGCGAGAGACAUAUUACUAUUAAUUCGCAUUCUUAUUCCAGUUGAACUUGUGCAAUACAUCUUACAUACUACAAAAUGAAAUUCAGAUAGAACAUAAUGCCCUACAAUAAUACAAUACAAACUAAUAAUGCAAAUACAUCUGAAUGAAACGGUACAACUGGAAUACAUCUUACAUACUACAUGAAGUCAUUAUCGUCAUCCUCCGUUGAUGCAGCCUUCUUGCCCUUCGACGAUGCGGUCCUCUUGCCCUCCGUCGAUGCAGAACUCUUGCCCUUGCUGGAUGCAGAACUCUUGCCCUUCGAGGAUGCAGAAGUCUUGCCUUUGGACGAUGCAGAACUCUUGCCCUUCGACGAUGCAGAACCCGGAAGCGGCGACAUGAAGAUAUCUUCGUCGUCCUCGCUCUCCUCAGUCCAUAAAAAUGUAUUCUUUGCUGCAGUCCUUCUGAAAGUUUUACUCUUUGGCUCCACUACCUUCUUCCACAUUUCAUGCAACCUAAGAAGUUCUUGACGUACCUCCUCAUAGGUCCUUUCAGGCCACCCAGACCUACGUAAUUGGUGAGCCAACUCAUUCAUUAUGGUGUCACUACCGAUGAGUUCGUCCCAUGGAACUAUCCUAUUGUCCAUCCUGAAAUCGGAAACUAGACUCAGAAGAGUGCUGCUCAUCCCAGGGUGAAAACUACGAUUGAACGGAUAAUGGGACAUCUCGACUACACUACACUGGAAUGCUUAUCCACCUUCGGCUGAAGGGGGUUUUAUAGAUACAAAGGAGAAAAUGGCGGGAAAGAAUAACUGCGUUAUGGCGGGAAAGGGUUGGCCGGGAAAUAAGGCGGGAAGGGAUUGGCGGGAAAAUAAGGCGGGAAGGGAUUGGCGGGAAAAUAAGGCGGGAAGGGAUUGGCGGGACACGGGUGGCGGGAACAUAUGGCGGGAAGGGGUUGGCGAGAAACGAGUGGCGGGAAGGGGUUGGCGGGAAACGGGUGGCGAGAAAAUACAUUUCAGCAUGAGCCAUGCAACUUCGGCCUACACGAGACCGAAGUAGUACUUUUCGGCCUAGACUUGACCAAAAAGUCUAUUUCGGCCAAGAGUUGACCGAAAAUUAACUUUUCGGCCAGGUGCCCCACUUUUCGGUCAAGUGUUGGCCGAAAACCCUACUUCGGCCUAACAGUGGCCGAAAACUACUACUUCGGCCAGAGGAUGGCCGACGGGCUACUAGUUUUGGUUUUUUUGCAUUACAUCCUAUAGUUUCCGAAAAUGCUAUAAAAUAUAUCAUAGUUUUGAAAAAAAAUCGCGGUUGCAGCGGGGCGGGCGAGGAGGGGAGGGAGAUAUUUUCUAGUAUUUAUUAUUAUUCACCGUAUUAUAUCCGGUUGGAUUGGAUGAUAGCAUCUCUAUCCCUUACAUAUUGAUGAAAUGGAGCUCAUUUGUGUUCCCUCAGAUUGAUGAAAUGGAGCCCUUUUUUUAACACAGUUCAGACGCAAGCGCUCAUAUAAACACACAUACACUCAUCCCUAUGAACGCACACACACAUACCCUACCUCUAUGAGCACCUCCGAGAGACUGAGCCGGCAUUUCAUCUUGAGAUUUUACGAAAUCAUCGUAGGCGCCUCGUAGUUGACGGAAACGUCUCCUCCCACUGAAAGCGUAUCGCCGGAAUUCCUGAAAUAAAUCCAGGAUAAAUGCGAGCAUCAGGAUUUGAACCCUGGUGGGUUGAGGAUACCACUGUCCACCUAACCAUCUCAACCAGAGGUUGGUUCACAUGGAGCCCAUUUGUUGCAAUCUAAAUUUAUAGCAGACUUUCACUUUCUCCUACUCACCACUCUACCAGGAAUACAAGGUCAUCCUCCUCGCAUCCGCGUCGCUCCCAGGGGGGCGACACGGAUGAACCCUAGCCCGCCGCUGCCCACCACACCUCCUCUCCCUGCCCCCUCGCCGUCGCCGGGCAAAACUCCGAUGGUGGUCGGCAGCGGCGGGGUGUUCUCCCUCGCGCGACCUUGUCUGCGGCGGCGGAUUCCUACCCCGCCCGGCCUGGCUCGCUUGGAUCCGGCCGGUGCGGCGCGCGGCCCUGGACGGCGCGUUGCUCACGCGGUUCGUGGGCGCCGGGGAGUUGGCCUCGGGCUCCUUCAACGGCGCGGUGGUCGGCUUGGAUGGGGAGCUACUCGGGGAAAGGAGCUUCAAGGCGACAGUUGCGAGCUGUCGAUCUGGCGCGGCUUGAAGGGCGGCGGUGUGCUCAUGCUCUCGAUCUGGUGCGCUAGAUGGGUUCUGGCGCGGCUAGAAGGGAGACGUGUUGCUCGUGCUCUAGUCCAGGUGUGGUUAGAAGAGCGGCAGCAGUCAUGGUGCAUUGGGACGUCAGAGCUAGCUUGGUGUUGCCGGAUCUGGCUCCGGUGGUGAUGUUCAGGCUGCUUGGCCGGUCAUCUCUGCAUGGUGCAGGUGAUGGCGGUAGGGAAGCUCUCGCCUUUGGUUCCUCGUCUUGUGGUUUCGCUAAGGCUGACUGUUGCUGGGCACCAUGGUGGUGUUGGUGGUUGCGGUGUGCUUGGCGGGGUGGUGUCGGCUGUUUGGUGGAGGUUUGGAGGCACUGCGGGGACACGGUGAGGGCGUUCGCUGGAUCUUGGCGAGGAGCACUACCGGUAGGUGGCUACAGGUGGAGCGCUAGCAACGGCGGCGACGGUGUUGGAUCAGCCAUGGGGGCGGCGGCGCCGAGAUGGCCCUGCCAGGAAGGUGUCCUGGCGUGCAGCGGGCUUCCGGCCGCCUCCAUGUGAGGGGAUCGCGGUGAUGCCCCGGUGGAGAUGGCGCCGGAGUGAGGUUGGAGGGGCGGGCCAGAUCCAAUCUGGCAGUAGUCUCUCGGUGUCGAUGAAGGCCGAUGGAGCGGAUCUGGCUUUUGCUCCGCUUGGAGGAUAUGGUUGCUUCUCGACGUCGAUGUUGGUGGAGGCCUGAUUCGCGCUCUCUCGACAGUGCGGGUGGUGUUGGGCCACGUCUACACGGCUUCGGCGGAUUUGCUACGAUGACAGCAGUGCGAGGCUUCAGGAACAGUGUUGCCCGGUACCUCGUCGGAGUCGAGAUGCGCAACAUUACGGAUGAAAAUCCUAUCCGGUUUGGCCGACCGGCGUCGAUGGCACCCGCGGGGUGUCGUUCCCCUCUCUGGAGGCGACGUCGAGUGUGUCGCCAUCUCCCUCGUGCUUGGUGUUGGCAGUUGUCUCCAGGCGAAAGCCUUGGUCCUCUGGAGCGGCAUGAUGGCGGCGUCUGCAACGUCGUUUCUCUGUUGGGAGCAUCGUGUGAGGAGACCGAGUUUCCUGUUGGCGCUCCUCCGGUGUUCGUCGUGGCCCUGACCGCUCCCCUCUGGCGCUAUGUAUGGUCAUUGCUGAUGAAUCCAAAGGAAGCUGGAGUUGCUGUUCUUCGGAGGUGUUCGGUGUCGAUCAAGACGCGGCGAGGUUUUUUGGUUUUGGGCAGGUUUUUCCAUGUUGUAGUUGUGUUCUCGUGCGUGGCUGUCCUGAGGAUAGCCGGAUGUGGUGUUGUGUUACGCCCACUGUUCACAGUGAGUGGUAGAUGUCAUGUACUAUUUUUCUCUCCUUCUAUAAAGCUACGGUACGCAAUUUGCGUACCCUCGAAAAAAAUUAUAACAGAGCCCCUAAAGAAUAGCAUGAAGCCCCCUAAAAGCAAAAUAUAGGUUGCAAUUGGGUCCUGGCCGCAGCCAUGGCAAUGGUGCUGCAAGCGGCUCCUGGCCCGCCUCGUGCGGCGACCCUCCACGGCUCCUGGCCAAGCCUCCUUUAGGAUGUGUUUGGUUCAAGGGACCAGCUAAAUGGAUAUGGGUAUCCCUAACCAGUUGGCUAGGGAUAUCACUUUUUUCUGUUUGGUUGGGCAAGUAAAUUUAACUCAUGUUAUGUUUGGUUCGGAGGAUGAAAGGUUGAGGAUAUCCACUGAAGGAAAUCAAGGAGAGGAAAGUGUUAUGCAUCUCGCUCGUGUAGUCCCUUUUUUCUUGAAGCUCCUGUCGCAGAAAACUAACAAGAAAAAUCUGAGAUUGGAAAACCACGCACGUACACCUCACUUGCCCUUGCUCACCACGCAUGCAUGCCACACUCUGCCAACACGCAAGGGCACUCUGCUGCGGCAGCCACUCCUGCGAGCUCUACUCCACCAGUCGCGCCCGCUCGCGCUAUGCCCGCCGGCCGCGCCGGCGCCUUGAUCUGCCAGGCAGCUCCGCCGGCGCUACCUCCUCUGGCCGGCACGCGCCGCUUUGCCAAGGAGAAGGAGGGCACGAGUAGAUCAGUGGACGACCUUGAUCCGUCCUCUACCACGUCGUUGCUCCAUUGCUGCUUUGAUCUACAGCCGCCGCCGCCCACGGAAGAGAGAUCUGGAAAGGGAAGGGUGAAAGGAUAUGAGGGGUCGGUGUCUUUUGACCGGGGAGGGGGGCGAAGAAAACGAUUCGGACGGAGGGAUGGCUACAUCCGCCACUUUUUCACGGACACGCGGAGCCGAGAUUUUCAAGAAUAUUCCACGAAUCUGGCUGCCCGUAUCCCUCCUUGUCCACGAAGCAAACACCUGAUAUCCUGAAAAAAAAUGGCUAUCCCUAUCCAGGGAGGGAUAGCCAGGCAACCAAACACAUCCUUAUUGCCUCGUGCUAUCCCAGACGGGGCGGCUAGCUACCACCCACGCACGCCCGACAACGGCGUCUGACGGCUAGCAUGCACGCACGUGCGGCAACGACGGCUAGCUAGCGCGCACGCGGCUGGUCGAUGGCAGCGGGGACGUUCAGAAUCGGGAGCUGGUGACUGUGGCAGUUUGACGAGAAACUUUCCUCUCACCAACAGUUUUCUUUUAUCAGAGGAGCUGGAAAAGAGCCCACGAAAAUUGAAAAUACUAGAUGAUACCCCGUGCGUUGCUGCGGGACGUUGUGGUUUCUAUGGAUAGAUUCGAAGAAAAACAUAUAUUGUAUGAAUGAUUAUUAAUACAUAUUGAAAUGUUGGACAAAUAUAUUUCUGCACAAAGAUAAAGAGAAUUAUCAGUAACGUGCACCGAUUUCCUCUCCCAAGUAACUAUGUUGAAUUUGUAGAACAUUGAAGUAUUUCUAGUACAGUCGCUCCAAAUGAGACAAAAUUUGUAUGGCAAAAUUUUGACAACUGGAAAAAUAAAGUAUGGGCAUAUGAUAGUGGAGGUAAAGCGCACCUAAUAAGUCAGCAGAGAUAUAUGUUCCAAACAUCCAGAGAGGCAUCAUGAAUAGCAUAAAUCGAUAAAGUUUUUUUAGUUGCUAAGGAAGCAGUACUGUACAAAAAAACUAAAUUUUAUUUACAUAUACUGGUAUGAUAACUUUUUUCGAAGACUUAUACAUGUAGGUUUUACUUUGUCUAGAAGUUUCCUACUCUAAUGAUUUUAUCCUUUUCAUUUGUAGCAAAGCAACAAUCAGAAUUUUUGUUGUACUUCCAUCUCGAUUUAAAAAUUAAAAAUAACUACCACCGGAGGUGAUCCAUGAAAUAAACUGAAUGAUGUAGUUUUACCAAACUAUUUAUCAAAAAGGUACUACUUCUCAGGUCGAUGGUCAAAUACCAAGAGAUUAACCAUUUCUAAUAGCUAAAAUAUUGAAGAGAAAAAACAACGCUAACCAAAUAGAGAAAAGAUAACGGUGGUGGCAAAGAGGGAGCUUCUGAAACCUUCAUGUAAGCGGAUGGCGACGGCGUGUGAUGCGACGAUAAUAUCCCCCAUAACCCACCAGCUGCUUCACACAAUCACACCCCACCAUUUAUCUUUGUACCACUACCUACAUACAUCCCGUGACAGAGAGGUCAGGUUCAGCCGGCGGAAUAUGCCAAUGUAUGGCAGGUGAGGCACAAGAGAGACAUAGGAGUACCAUUUUUUACUCAGUUCAAUACUCUUAGCUUGAUUGACUGGUGGCUGCAUGCUCUGGACUAUAUUCCUGAUUGCAGAGUGCAUACUUUCUUGUCCAUUGUCAUGAUUAUUUUGUGGCGCAUAUGGAUGGAGCGAUCUGACCGUAUUUUCAAUCUCCAAGCUUCGCCGUUCCUGCAUAAGUAUGAUUUCAUUGUUCUGGAGCUGGGCACCUUGCGGACGGUUAGGUCAAGAGCGUCCGGUGGCUGGGUAAUCAUGGAUAAGAAAAGUUUAACCAGUCCAGGCCUUUGCUGCUUUGCAGCUUUCAAUCACUAAUCAUCUAAUCCUACUUAUACUCCUACUGUAAUUCAUCCUUCUUUAUUUCCUUCUGUCGACCUUGCACAGUGGAUCUGUAACAAAACUUUCCACCUCAUUUUGAGGUGUGCUCCCGUUCUUAAUGAAUGAAAAUAGUGAUCUAGCUAUGUUUCGCCAAAAAUAAUAAUUAGAGAAGAGCACAAGAACCUGACAAAAGCCUUAUUCAGAAGAAAAGAAGAGCUUGACCAGAGAAGAAACGGGACACCGUCGUGGGCCUCCUCCAGACCGUCAUCUUCAGAUCAAGGCGGAAGAAGCAGGCUGGUUGUUGGGGCCACGGGCACAUCGUCGCUGGCCGUUGGGCGAGGGAGGAGGGUGGGAGACGCCGGCGGGAGGUUGAAUCACGUGCAUAGAUCAAUACGUCACAGGGAAUGUCGAGAAGGAGAGGGGAGGGAGUUGAUCACCAGUGGUACGGGCAUGAGAGGUAUGGCAGACGCCCACCCGUAUGGAGGAUGAUUGGUACAAAGUGAGUUCGGGUGGAGCACCGAAUUUAAAGAAGAAUCCAUCAGUUUCUUCUACAGAGAUCAUAGGAAGAGGAAGUGAAGCGCCCGUCACUAAUGACCAGCAGCUGAAGGGUUUAAGUGAUGGCAUCGGAGAAGAUAAAAAACAUGGGCCAUUUGGAGCAUUGGGCUGCAAAGGCGUCCACAAAGUGGGCUGGUUUGGUGUCAGCAAACGAAAAAUUUGAGGAUCUCUAGCUUCCAGCUUCAGACGCCUAGCGAGCAGCAGCGAAAAACUGCGGAAGUGCUCACCUCUUUGAAUUGGGCUCCUCGCCUCGCCAUCCACGCCGGGGUGCAGAGGACCGGUGUGCAGAGGGUCCGUUCUGGGUGGCCGGUGACCAUGGCGGACAACCCGCGUCACGCUCGGAGCUGAGGAAAGUGUGUUCUGAGGGGAGCUGCUAAUGGUGUGGUGAGCAGCAACGGCGGCUUGAAGGUGGGACCGGGAGUCAGUCUGGCGAUGGAGGAGGCGUACAGGGGUGGCGGCGCGCAUGGUGGGCAGGUGGAUGCGUGGGUGCCGGGGGUGCAACAAUAGGAGAGAGAGGAGGAAACACAGCGGAUGGCCGGUGCUUUGCCUGUGGCGCGACUGGUCGGCACGGUCGAUGGCCGUGGGCACAGUGGGAGGAGGUGACCGGAGGAGGGAGAGGAGGAAGCGCGGCGGAGAGCCGGCGCUCUGCUUGUGGCAUGACAGGCGCAUGGCAGGGCGCUGCGACAAAGGAGGAGUAGACGGGAGGUAGGAGAGGAGGAAUUGCGCCAGACGGGAGGCGCUCCAGUGGUGAGGCGAGGUCACCGUGGGCGCAUCGAGGAGAACGGAGGGAGGAGGGUAGCCCGGCGCUGUAGAUUCGAUGAGGAGGCCUGCCGUGCGGGAUGGGGAAAAGAUGAAAAAACUGUUUUUUUCAACGCCAUGACCAUAGGGCGAAUAAGGCUGACUGGCUGAUUUUUCAUUGGCUAGUUUUGAAAACUGAUUGAUGGCGUGGCAUAAUGCUGAUGUGGAGAGGGUGCAUUUUAAGGGAAUAGGUAGAAGUGGGGAGCAACUUCUUAAGAAUGUUAGAUGAGGUAGUUGGGCUCUCAUAUUGGGGGAUCACUAUUUUUUUAUGGUUUGGCCAAAUAUGCGGGAUCAGUUCAGGUCAGUUUUUUGACAAAACUAAAAUUGACAGUUAUUAUAAGGGUCGAUGCCUUUUACGGGAUCUGCUAGAGAUGCUCUAAAAUAGUGACAGAUAUCAGGGAAUUGCUCUUAGUUCGAAAAGAAUGCUUUAUUUAAAUGAGAUGGACACAACCCUGUGGCCGGCGCUAGGCGCUGGGUUCUUAUCCUGGCAUGAAAACCAUACGCACCGCGGUCCAAAACCAGCAACAAGGAAGGACCACCGCAGAGAAAUCUAGAAGAGGCUUUGUGAGCGGCAUGAAGAGAAGUAUGUGUGGGACGAGCACCGGUGCAGAGCAAGACCACCCCCAUUAUAUACCAAAACAAACCAACAUAACACACCCCGAGGACCCAUUCGUCGACACCUAGCCGCCGGACACAAUCAAGGGCGAACCUGGAGCCGACACCCCAUUAGGCCAACUCCAACGCACGACUCCAAAACUGCAUACUACGUUUCUCAACACCAAGCCCAUAAGUUGACGGAGGCACUAGUCAGGUUUUAGGCAUAUGAAGCCAGGAACGCCUAAGUUCCACCUAAAAGUGGCCUAGAUUUAGGUAAAAAGUGGCAAAACUUGUCAAAUCUCGCAAUCCACCCCUCUAGGCCAAAAUCAAUCAAUUUAGGCGACAAUUAGGAAGGUUGCCCGGUUUCAGGCAAGUUUGUAGGCCGGCAGCCUCGUACACCCCCCCACUACUACCUAGCUUUUCAGUCUAAUCAAUUAGCCUCAAUAUAUGGGCCAACUUGAGCUGGGCCCAAUGAUGUCUACUACGCAACUUUAUUCUUGUAGACUCAUCUUGGGCCUCCAAGCGCAGAGUUUUGUAGGACAGUAGCAAUUUUCCCUUAAGUGGAUGACCUAAAGUUUAUCAAUCCGUGAGAGGUAUAGGAUAAAGAUGGUCUCUCUCAAACAACCCUGCAACCAAAUACAAGAAAUCUCUUGUGUCCCCAACACACCUAAUACAAUGGAAAAUUAUAUAGGUGCACUAAUUCGGCGAAGAGAUGAUGAUAAAAGUGUGAUAUGGAUGGUAGAAAUAUAUUUUUAUAAUCUAAAUAAAUAAAAAUAGCAAGGUAGCAAAUAGUAAACGGGCACAAAAAUGGUACUGCAAUGUAAACAGGCACAAAAAUGAGGCCUAGGGUCCGUACUUUCGCUAAUGCAAUCUCUCAACAAUGCUAAUAUAAUUGGAUCAUAUAACCAUCCCUCAACGUGCAACGAAGAAUCACUCCAAAGUUCCUAUCUAGCGGAGAGCAUAAGAAGAAAUCGUUUGUAGGGUACGAAACCACCUCGAAGCUAUUCUUUUCGAUCGAUCUAUCCAAGAGUUCGUACUAAAAUAAUACCAAAUAAUUUCAGAUUCAUAAUACUCGAUCCAACACAAAGAAACUCAAAGAGUGCCCCAAGAUUUCUACCAGAGAAACAAAAGACGAGAACGUGCAUCAACCCCUAUGCAUAGAUUACCUAAUGUCACCGCAGGAAUCUGCAAGUUGAAUGCCAAAACACAUAUCAAGUGAAUCAAUAUGAUACCCCAUUGUCACCACAAGUAUUCAUAUACAAAACAUAUAUCAAGUGCUCUCAAAUCAAUAAAAGUAUUCAAUCCGAUAACAACGAAAUCUCAAAGGGAAAAACUCAAUUCAUCACAACAAGACAGAGAGGGGAAAACACCAUAUGAUCCGACUAUAUUAACAAAGCCUGCGAUACAUCAAGAUCGUGACAUCUCAAGAACACAAGAGAGAGAGAGAUUAAACACAUAGCUACUGGUACAAACCCUCAGCCCCGAGGGUGGACUACUCCCUCCUCGUCGUGGUGUCCACCGGGAUGAUGAAGAUGGCCACCGGUGAUGAUUUUCCCCUCCGGCAGAGUGCCAGAACAGGGUCUAGAUUGGUUUUCGGUGGCUACAGAGCCUUGCGGUGGCGAAACUUCUGAUCUUGGGUUAUUUCUGAUGGUUUCUCUAUUUAUAGGAUUUUUUGGUGUCGUUUUCACGCAAAGAUGGGCCUCGAGGUGAGCACAACCCACCAGGGUGAGCCUGGCCCACCAGGCGCGCCCUGGUGGGUUGUGCCCUCCUCGUGGCUCUUCUGCCCCUCCCACGAAGCUUCGGGGGUCUUUUUCGUUCCAAAAAAAAUCGUCAAAAAGUUUCAGCUCAUUUGGAGAACUUUCAUUUCUGCAUAAAAAACAACACCACGGUAGUUCUGCUGAAAACGGUGUCAGUUCUGGUUAGUUUCAUGCAAAUCAUACCAAAACCAUAUAAAAUUACUGUAAACAUGACAUGAAUACUUCAUAAAUUAUAGAUACGUUGGAGACGUAUCAGCAUCCCCAAGCUUAAUUCCUACUCGUCCUCGAGUAGGUAAAUGAUAAAAAAAUUAUGAAGUGUGAAUACUAACAAAGUGCAUAAGUUUGAUCAAUGAUAAUUUCAGUCACUUUUCCUAGCAUCAUAAUAGAAACUCUUUCUUAUAAAACUUCUCAUGUUAAACUAGCAACCAAUUCACUUGUUAAGGUUCAAACGAUGAAUUCUCUUGAAACUCAACAACCUAUGUUCUCAGUCACCAAACAAUUGUAAUUCAACUUAUUCAACAGAGUUUAAGUAAGAGCUCCACAUACUCAACCAUCAUAUAGUCUUCUAUGAUUUCUAACACUCACCGCAUACACAUGAGCAAAACGUUUCAAUCGAACACAUAGAAAGAUAGGGGCUUAUAAUUUCACCUCCCAACGUAUUCACGUCAAGGGUGAUGUCAACAAUAAUAACUCAUGCUACCCAUAUCCAAUUGGAUAUAUGUGCCUAGAUCUUUCCUCACCACAUGAUGCUUGCCAAAGAUAAAAAUAAAAAGGAACAGAGAGAAGAACUUUGACUCUUUGCAUAAAAGUAAAAGAUAGACCCUUUGCAGAGGGAAGCAGUUUGUUUGUAUGCUCAACCCCUUAGUGCAAAAGAACGUCACGUUGUAUUGCCCCUUGUGAUGGUAACCUUAAUUAUGCAGUCUGUCGCUUUUAUUCUUCACCAUCACAAGGUCGUACAAUGCUCAAUUUUCUCUUACACUAAAUGAUCUCACACUUUUAAAAGCAAUUUUUAUUGCCUUAUUGCACCGAUGACAACUUACUUGAAGGAUCUUGCUCAAUACUUAGGUAGGUAUGGUGGACUCUUGAAGAUAAUAUUUGGGUUUAAGGGUUUUUGGAUGCACAAGUAGUAUCUCUACUUGAUGCGGAAUUUUUGGCUAGCAAGGAUGGGGGGCAAGCACCACAAGGAUCUAUGACAAUAUAACUUCUAUGUGAAUAUGAACAAACAUAAACCAUUACGUUGUCUUCCUUGUCCAACGUCAAUAAUUUUAGCAUAUAAUAUUUUGAUGGGGGCUCACAAUCACAAAAGAUUUCCAUGAUAGUGUAUUUGCAUGUGAAAGUUCUCUUCCUUCUACUAAUAAUUCAUGAAUUACUUGUAUGACCAAUAUUGUGAUUGUGAAGCUUCAAAAGAUUUCACUUUCUAAACCCAAUGUGAAGCUACUACUAGGCAUGAUAUAAUUUCAACUUCAUGAUAUUCAAUUCAUUCAACAAUUAGUCAAAGUAUAUAAGUGAAGCACAAGAGUAAAUGACAAGCUAUUCCAAAAAGAUAUAAGUGAAGAUCAAGCGAGUAGUUAUGUAAAUGGGUAGCUACUUGAGGACUCUCUCUUAUUUAAAAAAACUUCCAGAUCUAAGUAUUUUAUUAAAACAGCAAGCAAAACAAAAUAAAAUGACAUUCCAAGGAUAGCACACAUCAUGUGAAGAAGCAAAAACUUAGGCUCAACCGAUACUAAUAAUAAUUGUUGAGGAAGAAAGGUGGGAUGCCUACCGGGGCAUCCCCAAGCUUAGAUACUUGAGACUUCUUGAAAUAUUAUCUUGGGAUGCCUGUGUCUUCUUAAUUCUUCUCAUAUCACGGUUUCCCUAAAUCUUAAAAACGCCAUCCACACAAAACUCAACAAGAACACGUGAGAUAAGUUAGUAUAAAGCAAUGCAAAAACUUUAUCAUUCUCUACUGUAGCAAAUCACUAAAAUUAUUAUUUAACAUUUCAUACUAAAGGCCUCUGCAUAUUUAACACUCAUAUCCUCAAAUAGAAUCAUUAAACAAGAAAACAUAUGCAAACAAUGCAAACAUAACAGCAAUCUGCCAAAACAGUACAGUCUGUAAGGAAUGCAUGAGUAUCAAUACUUAUUUAACUUCAAAAAUUAUGAAAAUUUAACACACUUUAGAAAAUUUAUCAGAGCUUAAUAUGCAUAAAGUUUCAACAUUUUAUCACAUUUUGACUUUUCUAGGGAUUGUUUUCAACAGCGAUAAACUUUCUGUUAUAAAACAACAACGUGUAGACUUGCAAAAUAAGCAUGUCAAAGGCUAUACUUGACAUUUUUAUUGAAAUAAAAGAUGCAAAACAUUAUUCUAAAUAACAGCAAGCAAAUCCUAACAAAAUAAAAUGACUCUCCAAGUAAAACUCAUAUCAUGUGACGAAUGAAAACAUAGCUCCAAGUGAGGUUACCGAUAAUGUUGGAGACGAAAGAGGGGGCAUCCCCAAGCUUAGUUGCUUGGAUCUUCCUUAGAUAUUAACUAGGGGUUCCUUGGGCAUCCCCAAGAUUAGGGUCUUGUCACUCCUUAUUCUCCUCAUAUCGAUAUCUCACCAAAACUUGAAAAAUUGAAUCACACAAAACUUAACGGAACUUUGUGAGAUAGGUUAGUAUGAUAAAGAGCAAACCAUUUCACUUUGGUACUGUAAAAGACAAGAUUCAUAAUUGUUCUCACACAAUGCCUACUAUAGCAUAUCAUUUCCACAAUUUAUAUUGAGCAAUAUAAGCCAUAUAAAUUAGAAAACAAGCAAACUAUUCAUUGAAAACAGAAUCUGUCAAAAACAGAACAGUCUGUAGUAAUCUGUAAUCCAACCAUACUUAUGUUACUCCAAAAAUUCUAGAAAAUUAGGAAAACUCGGGAAAUUUUCUAUUAAUCUUCUGCAAAAAGAAUCAGUAUUUUAUCACGCUUCUGUUAAAAAUGAGAAUUAUUUUCCUGAGCGCAAAAGUUUCUAUUUUUCAGCAAGAUCAAAUCAACUAUCACCAUAGACCAUCCCAAAGGCUUUACUUGGCACUUUAUUGAAACGAAAGCUAUAAUACAUGAUUACUACAGUAGCUUAAUCAUGUGAACACAGAAAAAUAGUAGGGGUAAUGAUAUGUCUCCAACGUUGAUAUGUCGCCAACAUAUCUAUAAUUUUUGAUUGUUCCAUGCUAUUAUAUUAGCAACCUUGGAUGUUUUAUAUGCAUUUAUAUGCUAUUUUAUAUGAUUUUUGGGACUAACCUAUUAACCUAGAGCCUAGUGCCAGUUUCUGUUUUUUUCGUUGUUUUUGAGUAUCGUAGAAAAGGAAAAUCAAACGGAGUCCAAUUGACCUGAAACUUCACAGAACUUAUUUUUGGACCGGAAGAAGGCCAUGGAGUAAAAGAGUUGGGCCAGAAGAGUCCCGGGCUGCCCACGAGGGUGGGGGUGCGCCCACCCCCCUGGGCGCGCCUCCCUGCCUUGUGGACAGCCCAGAGACCCCCCUGACUUGUUCUCGACGCCAAAACCUCUUAUAUAUACUGAAACUUCCAGACCCAUUCUAGACCCAUUCCGGCACCCUGCCUCUAUAGCCACCGAAAACCAAUCUAGACCAAUUCCGGCACCCUGCCGGAGGGGGAAUCCCUCUCCUGUGGCCAUCUUCAUCAUGCCGACGCUCUCCAUGACGAGGAGGGAGUAGUUCACCCUCGAGGCUGAGGGUAUGUACCAGUAGCUAUGUGUUUGAUCUCUCUCUCUCUCUCUCUCUCUCUCUCUCUCUCUCUCUCUCUUUCUCUCGUGUUCUUGAGUCGGCACGAUCUUGAUGUAUCGCGAGCUUUGCUAUUAUAGAUGGAUCUUAUGAUGUUUCUCCCCCUCUACUCUCUUGUGAUGGAUUGAAUUUUCCCUUUGAAGUUAUCUUAUCGGAUUGAGUCUUUAAGGAUUUGAGAACACUUGAUGUAUGUCUUGCAUGUGCUUAUCUGUGGUGACAAUGGGAUAUCACGUGAUCCACUUGAUGUAUGUUUUGGUGAUCAACUUGCGAGUUCCGUGACCUCGUGAACUUAUGCAUAGGGGUUGGCACACGUUUUCGUCUUGACUCUCCGGUAGAAACUUUGGGGCACUCUUUGAAGUUCUUUGUGUUGGUUGAAUAGAUGAAUCUGAGAUUGUGUGAUGCAUAUCAUAUAAUCAUACUCACGAAUACUUGACGUGACAUUGGAGUAUCUAGGUGACAUUAGGGUUUUGGUUGAUUUGCGUCUUAAGGUGUUAUUCUAGUACGAACUCUAGGAUAGAUUGAACGGAAAGAAUAACUUCGUGUUAUUUUACUACAGACUCUUGAAUAGAUCGAUCAGAAAGGAUAACUUUGAGGUGGUUUCGUACCCUACAAUAAUCUCUGCGUUUGUUCUCCGCUAUUAGUGACUUUGGAGUGACUCUUUGUUGCAUGUUGAGGGAUAGUUAUAUGAUCCAAUUAUGUUAUUAUUGUUGAGAGAACUUGCACUAGUGAAAGUAUGAACCCCAGGCCUUGUUUCAACGCAUUGCAAUACCGUUUACGCUCACUUUUAUCAUUAGUUACCUUGCUGUUUUUACAUUUUCAGAUUACAAAAACCUUUAUCUACCAUCCAUAUUACACUUGUAUCACCAUCUCUUCGCCGAACUAGUGCACCUAUACAAUUUACCAUUGUAUUGGGUGUGUUGGGGGCACAAGGGACUCUUUGUUAUUUGGUUGCAGGGUUGUUUGAGAGAGACCAUCUUCAUCCUAUGCCUCCCACGGAUUGAUAAACCUUAGGUCAUCCACUUGAGGAAAAUUUGCUAUUGUCCUACAAACCUCUGCACUUGGAGGCCCAACAACGUCUACAAGAAGAAGGUUGUGUAGUAGACAUCAAACGUAUCUAUAUUUUUUGAUUGUUCCAUGCUAUUAUAUUAUCUGUUUUGGAUGUUUAAUGGGCUUUAAUAUACCUUUUUAUAUUAUUUUUUAGACUAACCUACUACCAAAGGCCCAGUGCAAAUUGCUGUCUUUUUUUGCCUAUUUCAGUGUUUCGCAGAAAAGGAAUAUCAAACGAAAUGAAACCUUCAGGGGAGUUAUUUUUGGAACAAACAUGAUCCAGGAGACUUGGAGUGGACAUCAAGCAAGAAUCGAGGAGGCAACGAGGCAGGGAGGCACGUCCAGGGGGGUAGGCGUGCCCCCAUGAUAACCCACAAGUAUAGGGGAUCGCAGCAGUUUUCGAGGGUAAAGUAUUCAACCCAAAUUUAUUAAUUCGACACAAGGGGAGCCAAAGAAUACUCUCAAUAUUAGCAGCUGAGUUGUCAAUUCAACCACACCUGGAAACUUAGUAUCUGCAGCAAAGUAUUUAGUAGCAAAAUAAUAUGAUAGUAGUGGUAAUGGUAACAAAAGGUAACGAUAGUAAAAGCAAUGUUUUUGGUAUUUCAUAGUGAUGAUAGCAAUAGCAACGGGAAAGUAAAUAAGUGAAGAACAAUAUAUGAAAAGCUCGUAGGCAAUGGAUCGGUGAUAGAUAAUUAUGCCGGAUGCGGUUCAUCAUGUAACAGUCAUAACCUAGGGUGACACAGAACUAGCUCCAGUUCAUUGAUAUAAUGUAGGCAUGUAUUCCGAAUAUAGUCAUACGUGCUUAUGGAAAAGAACUUGCAUGACAUCUUUUGUCCUACCCUCCCGUGGCAGCGGGGUCCUUACGGAAACUAAGGGAUAUUAAGGCCUCCUUUUAAUAGAGAACCGGAACAAAGCAUUAACACAUAGUGAAUACAUGAACUCCUCAAACUAUGGUCAUCACCGGUAAGUAUCCCGAUUAUUGUCACUUCGGGGUUAACGGAUCAUAACACAUAACAGGUUACUAUAGACUUGCAAGAUAGGAUCAAGAACACUCAUAUAUUGAUGAAAACAUAAUAGUUUCAGAUCUGAAAUCAUGGCACUCGAGCCCUAGUGACAAGCAUUAAGCAUAGCAAAGUCAUAGCAACAUCAAUCUCAGAACAUAGUGGACACUAGGGAUCAAACCCUAACAAAACUAACUCGAUUACAUGAUAGAUCCCAUCCAACCCAUCACCGUCCAGCAAGCCUACGAUGGAAUUACUCACGCACAGCGGUGAGCAUCAUAAAAUUGGUGAUGGAGGAUGGUUGAUGAUGACGAUGGCGACGGAUUCCCCUCUCCGGAGCCCCGAACGGACUCCAGAUCAGCCCUCCCGAGAGGUUUUAGGGCUUGGCGGCGGCUCCGUAUCGUAAAACGCGAUGAUUUCUUCUCUCUAAUAUUUUCUCUCCCCAAAACUCAAUAUAUGGAGGUGGAGUUGGAGUCGGAGAGGCAACAGGGGGCCCACGAGGUAGGGGGGCGCGCCCUAGGGGGGCAGGCGCGCUUCCCACCCUCGUGGAGAGAUGGUGGGCCCCCUGGCCUUCAUCUUUUGCAGGUAUUUUUCUUAUUUUCUGAAAAGUGGCUCCAUGAAGUUUCAGGUCAUUCCGAGAACGUUUGCUCCUGCACAUAAAUAACACCAUGGUAAUUCUGUUGAAAACAGCAUCAGUCCGGGUUAGUUCCAUUCAAAUCAUGCAAGUUAGAGUCCAAAACAAGGGCAAAAGUGUUUGGAAAAGUAGAUACGUUGGAGAGGUAUCAACUCCCCCCAAGCUUAAACCUUUGCUUGUCCUCAAGCAAUUCAGUUGAUAAACUGAAAGUGAUAAAGAAAAACUUUUACAAACUCUGUUUGCUCUUGUUGUUGUAAAUACAUAAAGCAAGCAUUCAAGUUUUCAGCAAAGAUUAUAACUAACCACAUUCACAAUAACGCAUAGGUCUCAAGUUUACUCAUAUCAAUAGCAUAAUCAACUAGCGAGCCAUAAUAAUAAAUCUCGGAUGACAACACUUUCUCAAAACAAUCAUAAUGUGAUAUAACAAGGUGGUAUCUCGCUAGCCCUUUCUGAGAUCGCAAAACAUAAAUGCAGAGCACCUUUAAAGACCAAGGACUGACUAGACAUUGUAAUUCAUGGUAAAAGAGAUCCAGUCAAGUCAUACUCAAUGUAAACUAACAGUAAUGAAUGCAAAUGACAGCGGUGCUCUCCAACUGGUGCUUUUUAAUAAAAGGAUGAUGACUCAACAUAAAAGUAAAUAGAUAGGCCCUUUGCAGAGGGAAGCAGGGAUUUGUAGAGGUGCCAGAGCUCGGUUUUGAAAUAGUGGUGAAUAAUAUUUUGAGCGGUAUACUUUCAUUGUCAACAUAACAACCAAGAGAUGGCGAUAUCUUCCAUGCUACACACAUUAUAGGCGGUUCCCAAAUAGAAUGGUAAAGUUUAUACUCCCCCUUCCACCAACAAGCAUCAAUCCAUGGCUUGCUCGAAACAACGAGUGCCUCCAACUAACAAGAGUCCGAGCGGGAGUUUUGUUUGCAAUUAUUUUGAUUUAGUUUGCAUAAAGCAUGGGACUGGGCAUCCCGGUGACCAGCCAUUUAUCUCGUGAGUGAGGAGCGGAGUCCACUCCUCUUGAGAAUAACCCGCCUAACAUGGAAGAUACAGAUAACCCUAGUUGAUACAUGAGCUAUUUGAGCAUACAAAACAGGAUAUUUAUUUGAAGGUUUAGAGUUUGGCACAUACAAAUUUACUUGGAACGGCAGGUAGAUACCGUAUAUAGGUGGGUAUAGUGGACUCAUGUGGAAUAACUUUUGGGGUUUAAGGGAUUGGAUGCACAAGCAGUAUUCCCGCUUAGUACAGGUGAAGGCUAGCAAAAUACUGGGAAUCGACCAGCUAGAGAGCGACAACAGUCAUGAACAUGCAUUAAAAUUAAUCAACACCGAAUGCAAGCAUGAGUAGGAUAUAAUCCACCAUGAAAAUAUCGUGAAGGCUAUGUUGAUUUUGUUUCAACUACAUGCGUGAACAUGUGCCAAGUCAAGUCACUUAAAUCAUUCAGAGGAGGAUACCACCCUAUCAUACCACAUCAUAACCAUUUUAAUAGCAUGUUGGCACGCAAGGUAAACCAUUAUAACUCAUAGCUAAUCAAGCAUGGCACAAGAAACUAUGAUCUCUAAUUGUCAUUGCAAACAUGUUUAUUCAUAAUAGGUUGAAUCAGGAACAAUGAACUAAUCAUAUUUACAAAAACAAAAGAGCUCGAGUUCAUACCAGCUUUUCUCAUCUCAGCCAGUCCAUCAUAUAACAUCAUAAUUGCCUUUCACUUGCACGAUCGAAUGAUGUGAAUAAUAAUAAUAGUGUACGUGCAUUGGACUAAGCUAGAAUCUGCAAGCAUUCAAUAAACAGGAGAAGACAAGGCAAUAUGGGCUCUUUUGUCAGAUAAACAAUAAUGCAUAUAAGAGCCACUUCAGCAAUUUAAUUAUGGUCUUCUCCUAUCGACCCCCAAAGAAAAGAAAUAAAACUAUUUACAUGGGAAAGCUCCCAACAAGCAAAAGAAGAACAUGAAAUCUUUUUGGGUUUUCUUUUUAAUUACUACUACAAGCAUGGAAAGUAAAUUAAUUAAAAGCUACAAUUAAUUUUUUGUUGGUUUUUCUUAAGGUUUAUUAAACACACAAGAAGAAAGCAUAAAAGUGAAAUAAACUAGCAUGGAUGAUACAAUGAAAAAGUAUGAGCACCGAUAUCUAGCAAUGAGUGUGUGAACAUAAAUGUAAUGUCGGUGGGAAAUACGUACUCCCCCAAGCUUAGGCUUUUGGCCUAAGUUGGUCUAUGGCCACGGCUGGCCUGGCGGAUAUCCAUAAUAGUAGUUGGGGUCGUACUGCGAUGCAGCAGCUAUCGCCUGCUGAGCUGCAGUGUGGCGACGAGCGGCCUCCUCUCUCCUCUCGUACUCAUCUGCCUCCUCUCUGGUAAUAGUAUAUCCUCCUCUUGCCUGAUAAUCAAAGAAGGCAGGAGCAGGGAGAGUAAUACGGACAGCAUGACGUUAGUCAAAGAUUAGUCGAUACUGGAGAGGUGAUUCGUUCCUCUCGACAAACUGGUGGUGAACCAUAGCAUUAAAAUCUAGAUAAGCAGGAGGUAAUUCAAUAUCAUCUUCGCGUAUGGCUAUACUAAGAAAAAUAGCUAUGCGGGUUGCAUAAAUUCCACCAAAGAAAUCUCCAUUAAGUCUAUUAAGAUGCAACCUACGUGCAACAAUGCCUCCCAAAUUAUAUGAUUUGUCUCCUAACACAGCACUCCUAAGAAUACUGAGGUCAGGGACACAGAUGUGACAUGCCUCAUCUUUACCGUUUAUGCAUCUACCUAUGAAGAGAGCAAAAUAAUGUAUAGCAGGAAAGUGAAUGCUCCCUAUGGUAGCUUGUGUAAUAUCUCUAGAUUCUCCCACAGUUAUGCUAGCAAGAAAAUCUCUAAAUUCAGAUUUGCGAGGAUCCCUUAUACUACCCCAUUGUGGAAGUUUGCAAGCAGUGUGAGGGAGUCCUGGAUUAGGGGGUGUUCGGGUAGCCGGACUAUACCUUCAGCCGGACUCCAGGACUAUGAAGAUACAAGAUUGAAGACUUCGUCCCGUGUCCGGAUGGGACUUUCCUUGGCGUGGAAGGCAAGUUUGGCGAUGCGGAUAUUCAAGAUCUCCUAUCAUUGUAACCGACUCUAUGUAACCCUAACCCUAUCCGGUGUCUAUAUAAACCGGAGGGUUGUAGUCCGUAGGCAAUCAACUCCAUAUACAACAAUCAUACCGUAGGCUAGCUUCUAGGGUUUAGCCUCCUUGAUCUCAUGGUAGAUCUACUCUUGUACUACCCAUAUCAUCAAUAUUAAUCAAGCAGGACGUAGGGUUUUACCUCCAUCAAGAGGGCCCGAACCUGGGUAAAACAUCGUGUUCCCUGCCUCCUGUUACCAUCCGGCCUAGACGCACAAUUCGGGACCCCCUACCCGAGAUCCGCUGGUUUUGACACCGACAUUGGUGCUUUCAUUGAGAGUUCCUCUGUGCCGUCACAAUCAGGAAGGAUGCCUCCUCCCGUCUUUAAAGACGGUGCCGUUGCUAAGGGAGCCUUGGUUGUCGGCCAAACCCUCCGGCUAGGUGGUUUCCUCAUGACCGCCUGUUCGGCUGUUGCGCCGACGGUGACCUCUCGGGUCAUCAAAAGCAACCUACACGUCAGCUCGGAGCUCGUCGAGCAGCUAGAUCCAAUGGAGCUCUCUUCCGUAAACGAGCUCUUGGAUCGCAUCGCCGCCCUGGGGGUCGCUACGGAUUACGACCAGGUUGGGCUUAAACCCGAUCUAAGAGAAAUUAACUCUCCCCAAGUCACCCACCAUGUUGCUGUGGUAGAGAUGCUGUGCGGCGACCCUUCAUCUAUUUUAAGGACUAGCUACAUCCGAAUUCCCGACCCCUCCAAGCCGGAUACCCACGGAGGGGGAGAUAUAACUCAAGACCUGAGCUUAGGAUCAGGCAACGGGCCAGAUUCACUGGACAACAUCCAAGAAUCCGAACUUCAGAGUUCGGAAACUCUUUGGCCUCCGAAUCUUGGAUUGGGUGAGGUUUCAGAUUCAACGACACCCGCCCACCCAAUCAUAAGCGAUCUCUCCCAAAUCAGGCAGAGGCCCGAGGAAACAGUACAUCAUUACUAGGCCAGAUUCCUCCUGGUUAUGAACAGGAUAAAGGAUUGCCGCGAGGAAGACGCAAUCUCAAUUUUUUGCGGUAAUUGCACGGACAAGGGAAUCCUUAACGCCGUAAGUCGUCGUGAUAUCACACGCUUCGCUGACUUGGCGUCCAUAGUACAAAAAUACUGUGCGAUGGAAAGCGCCUGGAAAACCAAAAUAAAUUUUUGGGAUAAUCCGGCCUUGAAUGGUAAUCCCGUCCGAAUUAAGAGGGUGCAUCAUCACAGGACACCCGGGAUAAACACCAAAAAGCCAAAACCCUUUACAGGGCAUGGAACCGUACUGGAAAGAUGGCCUGAUGGACCCUGUAGAAUUCACAGUACAGAGGACGCCACACCAACUCACAGCCUUAGAGCAUGUUGGAUACUCCGGCAGGUGGCCAAAAUCGGCGAGGACCUCUUAAUUUCGGAGGCCGUAGAAAGCCAGCCCAAGGACACCAGUACCAUUCUCACAGUCUUCGAGACUUUCGCAUCAAACAAUGUGCGAAAAAGAACACUCCGCAGCCUCGUCGAAGUCUAUCAAGUUGCAACAAUAAAUCCAUGGAGCGACACUGCCAUUACCUUCAACGCAAGUGAUGAACUUAGAUUCCGAACAGCCCGAGCACCAGCCGCAUUGGUCCUCAGUCCCAUAGUGGACGGCUUUCGCCUCACCAAGGUGCUCAUGGAUGGAGGCAGCGGACUGAACCUCAUUUAUGAGGAAACCCUUCAAAAAAUGGAAAUAGACUGGAACCGCAUCGAGCGAAGCAGCACAACCUUUAGAGGAAUAAUCCCCAGUCGGGAAGCGCGCUGCACAGGAAAAAUCACACUAGAUGUGGUGUUUGGCACGCCGGAUAAUUACAGGUCCGAAGAAGUCACGUUUUAGGUGGCCCCAUUUAAGAGCGAAUAUCACGCUUUACUAGGGAGGGAAGCAUUCACAAUCUUCCAAGCAAUACCCCAUUACGGGUACAUGAAGCUUAAGAUGCCCGGGCCGAAUGGAAUUAUCACUCUAGCUAGUGAUCCAGACAUAGCACUCCGCGCCGAAAAUAAGACGACCGCAUUAGCCCUUGAGGCGCUAUCCGAAGCCUUAGCGGCCGAGGAAUUGACUGCACUGCGCUUCACGGUUAACAGGGAUGAUGUGAUACUCGAUAAGAGAUCCAAAUCCACAUCCUUUAAGCCAGCCGACGAAAUAGUCAAAUUCCAGGUCCAUCCAACGGACCCCAAUAAAACAACUUCAAUCGGGGCACGACUGAACCCUGAUGCAGACGCCACACUGUGAGAGUUCCUACGAGAGAACUAGGACAUCUUCGCCUGACACCCUUCAGACAUGCCAGGGAUCCCACGCAGGCUGGCCGAACACAGCUUAAAUAUCCUAAAAGGAUUUAAACCUGUCAAACAAGCCCUUCGGCGUUUUUCCGAACCCAAGAGACAGGCUAUGGGAGAGGAGCUAGCCAAGCUAUUGGAGGCCGGAUUCAUCAGAGACAUAAAACAUCCGGACUGGCUAGCAAACCUGGUGAUGGUACCAAAGAAGGACAAAUCCUGGCGCCUGUGUGUCGACUUUAAAGACCUUAACAAGGCUUGCCCAAAGGAUCCCUUCCCCCUCCCCCGCAUCGAUCAAAUUAUCGAUGCCACCGCAUGACACGAUUUGUUGUGUUUCCUCGACGCAUACUCUGGUUACCAUCAAAUCAAGAUGGCAGAAUCAGACCAAGCUGCAACAGCAUUCAUCACACCAUACGGCCCAUUCUGCUUCAACACAAUGCCCUUCGGGCCGAAAAACACCGGCGCAACAUAUCAGCGCAUGAUCCAGACAUGUCUGGCAAACCAGAUUGGCAAAACAGUGGAGGCGUAUGUGGAUGAUGUGGUCGUCAAAUCAAGACAUGUCGAAUCCCUAGUAAACGACUUGAGGCUUACAUUCGAUAACCUCCGACAAUAUGACAUCAAGCUCAACCCAGAAAAAUGCGUCUUCGGCGUUCUAGCCGGAAAGCUCUUGGGCUUCAUUGUAUCCGGUAGAGGAAUUGAAGCAAACCCAGCCAAGAUCCGAGCUUUGUCACAAUUGAAUGUCCCAAAGGACCUUAAACAAAUACAAAAAUUAACCGGGUGCGUGGCGGCUUUAAGCCGCUUCAUCUCCCGCUUGGGAGAAAAGGCACUACCCCUUUAUUGCCUCCUUCGGCGCACCGAACACUUCGAGUGGACGGAUGCCGCCACGGCCGGACUUGAUGAAAUAAAAGCCAUAUUGGCAACAAACCCAGUCCUGGCCGCGCCAAUCACCGGUGAACCAAUGUUAUUGUACAUUGCAGCAACACACCAAGUUGUCAGCGCAGUGCUUGUUGUCGAGCGGGAAACUGAAAUUCAUGCCGGUCUCGGGGGUCACCACGCCGCUCGGUCCCUCGUUAGCAAGGCUUUCCGUACAGGCUUUUACUGGCCGACAGCCCGAGCAGACGCUCAGGACCUAGUCCAACGAUGCGCUAGUUGCCAACUUUUUGCCAACCAAAGCCAUAUGCCACCCACCGCACUCCAAACUAUACCCAUCACCUGGCCUUUUGCGGUCUGGGGGCUUGACAUGGUCGGACCCCUUAAAGGUGGAACCCAUAGAAAAAAAUACUUACUGGUGGAUAAGUUCACCAAAUGGAUAGAAGCCAAGCCUGUUAAAACGGCCGAAUCCGUACCUGUGAUGGACUUCAUAUCCGGGGUUGUACACCGUUAUGGCGUCCCCCACAGCAUCAUAACCGACAACGGUACAAAUUUUACCGCCGAUGAGGUAAAACUCUGGUGCAAAAACAUGGGCAUCAAGCUCGAUUAUGCUUCCAUCUAUCACCCACAAACCAACGGCCAGGUCGAACGUGCAAAUGUUCUUAUCAUGAGCGGCAUCAAACCCAGACUGGUGCGGUCCCUCAAGGAAUCUAACACGCACUGGGUAGAGGAGCUCGACUCCGUGCUAUGGGGGCUGCGGACCACGCCAAAUCGCACCACCGGGUACACACCAUUUUUUAUGGUGUACGGUGCAGAAGCAGUUUUGCCCUGCGACAUAAUUCAUGACUCACCUAGAGUGCGCAUGUACGAAGAAAGAAAAGCCGAGCUCGAUCGGCAGGACAACUUGGACGCCUUGGAGGAGGAGUGCGAUGUGGCAAAAGCCCAUUCCGCAUUUUAUCAACAACAGGCCCGAAGAUAUCAAAGCAGAGAAGUACGGGCCAAAAAUUACAAUGUUGGCGAACUAGUUCUACGCCUGCCGGAUAAGAAAAAGGACAAACUCAAGCCCAAGUGGGAAGGUCCAUUCAUAAUCGACCAAGUCCUGACUGGUGGGGCGUACCACCUGCGAGAUGCGUCGAACAACUGACUCGAGCCGAACCCGUCGAACGCCACCCGUCUCCGAAGAUUCUAUGCCUAGCGCCGGACUCUCUGUUCGUCUCCUUCCUCUAUCCAUCCCUUUUUGUAUUUUUCUGUCUUACAUUUCUCUCCUUCCCAUUUUUUUCUUUCAUAGCCCUUAAAGGCUCAUCUAGUGACGCGCCACUCGCGCUCAUUAAACCUGGGGGCUUCUUUAACAGAAGCUUAUUUAUACGGGCUUCACGCCCAACACAUGCAUCAAACUUCCGCAUGUACCUUUUUUAUUCACCAUUAUAUGCAUCGAUAUGACUUAAGUUUUGGCCAAGCUGGGUUGCCUGGCUCCUGUGCUUACCCCUGCGUUCCCGAUUGUUCGGCUAGGCGGUAAAGGGAGCACCUCUGCGAUUGUUACUGCCGGGUCAGCCGGAUGUGUACCUCAGACUAGGUGAAGCCGAAAGCUAGCGUUCUUAAGGGAAUAUUCGGUCGGUGAAAUAAAAGAUGAUCUUUUUACUCAUUUUAUGCGCCCCCAGAUGCUUUUUUUUUCUGCGUCUCUUCACGCAGUCCGGACAUGCACCUUAGGGCAUGCCUCCCAGCGAAAGGAACCCUUAACGGAACUAUUCUCUCUGGAAGAUGUUUCUUACUAACCAUGUAAUAUAACAUAACUAGUUGGGCACUUGUCUGAAAAAGCACUGAUGACCCCUACGCCUGGUCUCCACGCAUAUCCCGGUUCUUAUAUAACCGCUAGGGUAUUCAGACACACUCCGGACCGUCAGGUCCCGAGGUUGAAGCGAAAAGGUCGGCAACGACAAACGAUCUACAAUCCGGCUAGAAGGCAUUACACAUGUCAAUUCAAAAUUACACAGUCAUUCUGACUGAUUGUAUUCCUCUUCUAUACCAUCUAACAGGCUGUCUAAUUUACAGUCCUGCUGGGAAUACUUCGCGGCCAACUCUACUUGGCCGUAUACUAAGCUUACAGGGAUCUCCUUCCCGUCAGGCCCCACUGGUCCGACCUCGGCCAUGUGGUUUGGGUCAGACUUCGUAAAACGAGUCUUCACCAUGGCCCAAGCCUCCCUAGCGCCUUGUCGGCAGGCCGAUAUCUUCCACAACCGGAAGCGAAGCCGAGCUCCCUUCAGCUUCUCCGCAAGCUCUCCAAGGUCCUCGGGCACGGAGUGGGCAGGCCAUAAGGCUUGGGCAAUAUCCCGCAUCGCCUGCCGAAUUCGCUCGCGCAGUUGCAAGAGUUCGGGAAGAAGGUCACCCGUAGAACCGGGCAUCUCCUCUGCAGGACGACCUGUGAGCAUACCUACAGACAUUACUCUGUUAGUCGACUUCCUCGCCGAACUCUUUUUUCAAAGUUUGUUCAAGCACUUACUAAAAAUGCCGCGUCGAAGCCACUGAUUGUCCUUCGUGGAGUCCGACAGCUGGCCACGAACAUCUUUAAGUUCGACAUCCAGCUUGGUGUUGGCAUCCUGAAGAUCAUUCUUCUCUCGCCUCACCUUUGUCAACGUACUCUCACCGGCCUUUAGCCGGCAUAAGAGUUGUUGCUUGUCCGGAUCGAGUCCGGCGCCAUCUGCAAUAUGAUUUGUCAGAUUUGCACCCACACCGCACAAUACUAAUCUUUCAAAGUGUAUCUUACCUGAGGGGGUCUCUUUGGGCUCCCCUGCUGCGGCUAGUGCGGCCUCUAGUUGGGCCUUGCACUUUUCCAGCUCCUGGGACAGUACGGUAUUCUUCUCUGUAAGAAGUUGCAUAUUAAAUGAUCCUUAAAUCAGUUGCUCUAACUGCUUCAAGUCUCGGGGGCUACUGGCAUACAUAUAUAUUUAACCAAAAUUUUCUUACCCGUAUGUCUUUUACAUACUGCUCCGUGGCUCUGGCUAAACCAUUUUGAGCGGCACGGAGGUACGCAUCUCCCGAAUUAAAGGCAUCUAAAGCCUCUUGGGAGAAACAAGCGUCGCGUAGAAUUGUCCGAUGACGCCUAUGGUUCAUGGCACUCUCCACUUCAGAAUUUGUGGCAGACAGCCUGUCCGCAUCCUCUGUCGAAGGAGCGUCCGGUGCGCGCCUUGUGCUCGCCUCCGCUUCCUGGCCAGACAUUGGAGCCUGGCUGGUGGAGGCGCGAUUGGCAACCUCUCUGGAUGUAGUCCGGCGAGGUCUCUUCGUUCUGAAGAUAGCACGAACGUUAAUAUGCCCUGACAAAAUAACUCCAGGGAAACAGAGGGUGCAUUAUACCUUUGCGCCGGCAUCUCAGUCCGGACUUCAUUCCUUUUUGCCCCACGGGGCCCUGCGGCCCCUCGUUGGCUAGCCGCCGCAGGUUCGGCCUCCUUCCUCGGAAAUCUCCCCUGCAAAACAUGGCUGUCGUCAGAAACACCGGGCUACGUGAGGGUGGAAUCUCUUUCAAGGGAAUAAGACCCCGGUUUCUGUCACCUGGGAGGCCGGGAUUAACCCUGGGUAAUCCGCCGUAAUGGCUACCAAGGUAUUGUCCUUGCUUAGCUGAUGGAACACCCCGUCGAUAAGCUCCAACGAUAUGUCCGGAUCCUCUUCGGAGUCCAGAUUGAGGGACCGUUCUGGAUCCUCGGGCUAUGGAGGGCGGCUGCUUAUAUCCUUUACCUCCUGUCGUAGUUCCUGCAUUGAAGUCGUUAGACUACCUAUCUAACCAUGGGAGUAUAAAACAAAUGGGCAAGCGCAAUUGUUCACUUACCCAACUUGAAGGAUCGUACAUACUGAAUCCGGCCCGCGGGUUGACGCGGAGGAAUUCCUCCUUUUCACCCUUGUACAAAGAGGAUAAGAUCUUUACUAAGGCGACGGCUGAGGCCGGCCCCUUACGACCGUAACAUGUGGCGUCAUCCUCCCCGUUGAAAUCCCACAUGGGGUGGCCUCUAUAUUGAUGCGGCUGCACCCCCUGCAUAAUGCAUGCGACCAUGACUCCAAUCAUGGUUAGUCCGGAAUGAGCCAACAGUCUUAUCCGGCCCAUCAGGUAAAGGACGUCUCUGUCGCUUUCUCUCUGAGAGCUCCGCGGACACCAGCUCAAGCGUUUCUUCAAUGGAGCACUGUUGAACUCAGGGAGACCGACCCAGAUAGGGUCCAGUAGCGGGACGUCAUCUAUAUAAAACCAUUCCGAAGGCCAGUCCUCGGACGCCUUCUUUGGGGUUCCGGAUAGGUAUCCGGUCCCGGCGAUGCGCCAUACUUCGGCUCCGCCCACUUGGUAUAUAGACCCCUCUUGAGAAUGGGGCACCAGGCAGAAUAACCUCUUCCACAACGCGAAAUGAGCCUCAACACCUAAAAAUAGCUCGCAAAGGGCGACGAAACCCGCAAUAUGCAAUACGGAGGCGGGCGUGAGAUUGUGCAGCUGGAGGCCAUAGAACUCUAGAAGCCCGCGGAGAAAUGGAUGAAUUAGAAAUCCCAGUCCCCUUAUUAGAUAGGGGACGAGGCACACCCGCUCUCCUUUAGAAGGAUUGGGGGUGCUCUCCGCUUGUUUUCCGCCAUUGUAGGUGGCGAGACCGGCUCGGACCGGGACCAUGUAUGCCUGAGGGAGAAAUCCCUUGGCCUGAAGCGACACUAACUCGCUAUGCGGGAUGGUGCAACUCUCCCAGUCCCCGGGUUUGGGACCGGAGGGGCGAGGGGAGGAGCUGCGACGGCUGGUCCUGUUGGAAUGGACCUUUGCUGGAAGCGCUCUGAUGAUAACUCGCGGAAAGGAGAAGAUGUGGUUUGGACCUAAAUCCCCAUCCCGUUAAAUAGGCGGCUCGUUUAUACGACUAGGGGUGUGGAUGUAAAAACGCCCCGCCUUUUCGCAUUCGUGGAAGACGGCCAUUAUUGGGCGUGGAAGUCGAGGAGCACUACAUUACAAAAAUCGGACAUUGUUCCUAUAGGUACACAAGAUUUGGAGAAGAACCCACCUUGCAAUGCCGAACAAUCUGCGCGCCGGACUCGUCAUCAUUGAAGCCUGGUUCGGGGGCUACUGAGGGAGUCCUGGAUUAGGGGGUGUUCGGGUAGCCGGACUAUACCUUCAGCCGGACUCCAGGACUAUGAAGAUACAAGAUUGAAGACUUCGUCCCGUGUCCGGAUGGGACUUUCCUUGGCGUGGAAGGCAAGUUUGGCGAUGCGGAUAUUCAAGAUCUCCUACCAUUGUAUCCGACUCUAUGUAACCCUAACCCUAUCCGGUGUCUAUAUAAACUGGAGGGUUGUAGUCCGUAGGCAAUCAACUCCAUAUAUAACAAUCAUACUGUAGGCUAGCUUCUAGGGUUUAGCCUCCUUGAUCUUGUGGGAGAUCUACUCUUGUACUACCCAUAUCAUCAAUAUUAAUCAAGCAAGACGUAGGGUUUUACCUCCAUCAAGAGGGCCCAAACCUGGGUAAAACAUCAUGUUCCCUGCCUCCUGUUACCAUCCGGCCUAGACGCACAGUUCGGGACCCCCUACCCGAGAUCCGCCGGUUUUGACACCGACACAGAGGUAAAAUCCUCUAAGUCCAUAGUGUAAUAUUUAUCAUAAAGAUCAAACAGGACAGUUGGAGAAUUACAUGAAGUUGAAAAUUCAAACCUCCUCAUAAAGGUACUGGUGAGGUUGUGAUACUAGCUGCACUUCUCUUCCUCGAAGCUCACGAGAUCAGCGUUACACAAAUAUGCGUUGAAUUCUUCCUUAAUUCCCGCCCGAUCCAUAAAGUUCUCAGAAGGCCAUUCACAAGGACGCACUGGAGCGUCUCUUGGUGGCUCUUCAUCAGCAUCACGCAUUGCAAGCCUGGGUCCUUGCUUCCUUGAGGAACCACCUUGGAACAUUUUCCUAAGCAUUUUUCUUUCUCUGAAAAUUUCUGAAUUGUUUUAGUAACUUCAAAAUAAAAGUAAACCAAACUCAAUAAUAUUGAUAGCAACUACUCCUACAAGUGCCUAGAGCCUAUAUCAUGCAUCAAAACUACUUGGAACCAUAUAAGUUUGACAUGCAAGCUCAAGAACAGGGUCACCUAAGCAACAAAAAUUUGCAAUGAAUAAAGCACUAGAACAAAAACUAAUUGGACCAAUGGAGGAGUCACAUACCAAGGAACAAUCUCCCCAAGCAGUUUUGUGAGAGGUGCUUGAGCUGGAUAUUUGUGUUUGUGGGAGGAAGAUGAAGUGUGUGGGUGCAGGAAUAAAUGGAUGAGGACCACCAUGGGCCCACUAGGCAGGGGGGCGCGCCCUCCACCCUCGUGGGCCGGUGGUUGACCCCCCUGCUGUGUUCUUUGUGCCAAAUAUUCUCAAAUAUUCUGGAAAAAAGCAUAUUUAAAUUUCAGGGCAUUUGGAGAACUUUUAUUUUCGAGGUAUUUUUAUAUUGCAUGGAUAAUCAGAUAACAAACAGAAAAAUAUUUAUUUUAUUUUAUUUAAUAUAAUUAACAAAAAGUAAAAGUGGGGUACAGAAGGUCGUGCCUUCUAGUUUCAUCCAUCUCAUGAUCAUCAAAAGGAAUCCACUAACAAGGUUGAUCAAGUCUUGUUAACGAACUCAUUCUGAAUAACAUGGAUCCGGAGAAAUUUCGAAUAACACUAUGUUACCUCAACGGGGAUAUGCACAUCCCCAAUAAUAAGAAUAUCAUAUUUCUUCUUGACAGUAGGAAGAGGAAAUUCAAAACCUCCAAAUAUAAUCGAUGGCAUUUUCCCAAUAGAAUUGAUACUGUGAACUUGAGGUUGUUUCCUCGGAAAGUGUAUCGUAUGCUCAUUACCAUUAACAUGAAAAGUGACAUUGCCUUUAGUGCCAUCAAUAACAACCCUGCAAUAUUCAAAAAGGUUCUUCCAAGAAUAAUAGACAUACUAUCAUCCUCGUGAAUAUCAAGAAUAACAAAGUCCGUUAAAAUAGUAACGUUUGCAACUACAACAGGCACAUUCUCACAAAUACCGACAGGUAUAGCAGUUGAUUUAUCAGCCAUUUGCAAAGAUAUUUCAGUAGGUGCCAACUUAUUCAAAUCAAGUCUAUGAUAUAAAGAGAGAGGCAUAACACUAACACCGGCUCCAAGAUCAUAUAAAGCAGUUUUAACAUAGUUUAUUUUAAUAGAGCAUGGUAUAGUGGGUACUCCUGGAUCUCCAAGUUUCUUUGGUAUUCCACCCUUAAAAGUAUAAUUAGCAAGCAUGGUGGAAAUUUCAGCUUCCCGUAUCUUUCUUUUAUUUGUAAUAAUAUCUUUCAUGUACUUAGCAUAGGGAUUGGUUUUGAGCAUAUCAGUUAAUCGCACACGCAAAAAGAUAGGUCUAAUCAUUUCAGCAAAGCGCUCAAAAUCCUCAUCAUCCUUUUUCUUGGAUGGUUUGGGAGGAAAAGGCAUGGGUUUCUGAACCCAAGGCUCUCUUUCUUUACCAUGUUUCCUGGCAACAAAAUCUUUUUUAUCAUAACGUUGAUUCUUUGAUUGUGGGUUAUCAAGAUCAACAGCAGGUUCAAUUUCUAUGUCAUUAUCAUUACUAGGUUGAGCAUCAUCAUGAACAUUAUUAUUAACAUUACCACUAGUUCCAGGUUCAUUACUAGAUUGAGUUUCAGUAACAGAAAUAGAAAUAUCAUUUGGAUUCUCAGGUGUUUCAACAAUAGGAUCACUAGAAGCAUGCAAAGUCCUAUCAUUUUUCUUUUUCUUCUUUUUAGAAGAACUAGGUACAACUAUAUUAUUUCUCUGAGAAUCUUGCUCAAUUCUCUUAGGGUGGCCUUCAGGAUACAAAGGUUCUGUCAGAGUAAAUGACCACGGGUAGCCUAGCCGGCUUCCCCUGGCACUUCAGAAAAAUUAUAGGCCGAUCAAGCCUCCAAGCGUCCAAGACAUGGGGCCGCCUUCCCCUAGCCGGCUACCUCUCAAGCCGGCUGCGCGAAGGCGGCCCAGCCCUGAAAUCCUUGAGAAACAAGACCACGAGAAGGCUGACUUCCAGAAGCCGGCCAUAAAAGGGCCGACUCCCAGGAGCCGGCCCCUCAGCAGGCGGCUAAGAUCUUGCCCUCAGAGUCUGCACCCACAUAACGGCGACAAGACGAGGCAUAGCUACAGUUAAGCCUGCCACCCCCGAAUCCCGGCGCACGCCUGACCACAGUGCACCGUACGCGGCGGCCAUCCCCGUCCGGCGCGGCACUGUUGCCACGAUGAUCGUGACAUCACCCACAGCGAGCGGUCAGUACGAACCAUGGGUGGCGGGCCCCCUCGGUCAGGGAGAUCCCAAAGGCGGCCAGGCUUCCCACAGUCGGCCAAGGGUAUGGCCGGCUUCCAACAGCCAGCCAGCUCUCUCCCUCCAAGGAGGUGCUCCAUUAAGGAGACAAGAGAAGGUAAGGCUACAGUGAUGAGCUGCCUCGCGGCGGCACUGUAGCCAUGCUUACCACGACAAAGCCAUCAUCACCAGGGGUAAGGUAAUAGUAACCAGCCCCCGACAAGACCCCCGAGCGGUGGGGCCGGCCUAUCAACCAAAGGGUCGGCAGCCGGCAGGCCCACCAGUCGGCAGGCCCCACCAGUCGGUGGAGAAGCCGGCGGGCGUAGACACAGACGGCUAGGGCCCACGCCCAGCUGGGUUACCAUUGUACCCUGGGGGGUAGGCCUAUAUAAACCCCCAGGGUUCCCAUGCAGGGGAGAUCGCUCUUUGGAUAGAUUUUAGUCACCACAAGGAGAAGAGGAGUGGGCUGGCCAGGCCCUCCUUCAUCCUUUCACCGAACAACUCAAGGAGCAUUCUGUAGCUACCCAUCGAGUUAGUGAUCAUGCGAAGACCCCGCAGAGCAGCACUAGGGGUGUUAUCUCCACGGAGAGCCCUGAAGCUGGGUAAGAUUCGCCGGCGUGCAUGUCUUCACCUUAUCCCGUUUCCAGGCACCGACGAUGUUUUAUUGGCUCCCACAAUGAUAAGCCAUCCAUUAGCAUAUGUCGCACCAACCACUCGACAUUUGGCGCCCACCAUGGGGCCAGGUGCACCGUCGUCCGGAGACUUGCUCUAGACGGGAACCCUCUUCCUUCCCAACAUGCGUAGCCAGCCUGGCUCGCCCGAUGGCGCUUGCCCCAACGCGCUGCAAGACAUCGCCGACGCCUGCGCGACGAGCUGCCUCGCCGAUCUUCUUGGCGAGGCUCGCAUCUCCGACGAGCCCGCAUCCGACGCGGGCACAGACUGCCCUGAGAGCCACCUCGUCAGCCUCCUCGAUCAACUCCACGUCUCCGGCGAGCUUGCCGUGGACUUGGAGUCGGUUGGCUCCACUGACCCGAUGCUUGUCGACUCCGACACAACAUCCCUUGACGCCUUCCCCACCAACAUGGUGGUCUUCAACGACCCUCUUCCUCGAGCCGACAGCAGCGGCAGUGCCAUCACCGAGGUACUGGUUAUCAGCCACGACGCCCCCUCAGGCGAAAACGCCCACGACACGGACGCGGACGCCAAGACGUUGGAGGCGCGCCGCCUCGCCCUCGUUGCGGAGGGCCAGAGGCUCGCCACCAUGAGACGCCUCAUCGAGGAGCACCAGCGCGAGGUCGACCGAGCUGCCUUCGGCACGCCGCCUCCCGACGGGCCGAGCCGCGUCGGUAUCGUCAAGAAACACGGCGCGGCUAUCGCCGACAUGAUGGGAGCAGACCGCCCAGUCUAUGCCACGCCUCUCGAGAACUUGCGUGCCGCCCAGGCGGCCGCAGACGAGUUGAAUGGGCUGGGGCCUGAUGAGCUCCCUUACAUGACCAGACGCAUCCAGCAACUUAUCGACGCGGCCACAGAGCGGCAUGAAGCCGGCGUCCGUGCCGAGAGUCCUCCCCCGCGCCAAGAGCACAGUGCGACGUCCCAAACACCGACCGCGGGCAACACCCGCGUGAGAAAAGAGAAGGAGCCGGCUGCCAGCCGCAGUCAGACUCGAAUCUCCAUCGAGCGUGACGCCGAGGGCCGCCCUCGAGCCGUGGAGUGGUGGGGCAACCCUCCUCCUCCUCCGCCUCGUGGGGAGAGAUACCCUACCCCGCCGCCUGUCACGCACCUGACUCUCAGCGGCUGGCUGGAUUGCCGCAAAGGAGUCGGCGAGAGUGACGCCCGCCACUGGAUCGACCACCUUGCGUGAUCCCUGGCCCUAGAAGAAGAAGAUGAUGUCGGCCCCACUUGCUUUGGUCCCCGCAUCCGCGAUGAGCCCUUCCCCAAAGGGUUCUCACUCCCAAGAGACACGCCCAAGUACAACGGCUCCGUGAAGCUGGAAGAUUAGUUGAUCGACUACUUCACCGCGGUUAGCAUUGCAAACGGCAACAGGCAUGUUGCCAUAAAAUAUGUGCCCCUCAUGCUCCAAGGCACGGCGCACACCUGGCUUAACAGCCUCAAGCCUUACAGUGUCAACAGCUGGCUAGACUUCACUGAAGCCUUCAUACGCAACUUCACCAGCACCUACAAGCGGGCUCCUAAGCCCCGACAGCUCUCCUUAUGCAUCCAAGGGCCCAACGAAUCGACUCGCGACUACCUCACGCGUUGGGCCGAGCUCCGCAAUUCCUGCGAGGGAGUGCACGAGGUCCAAGCUAUAGAGUACUUCACCGCCGGGUGCCGAGAAGGCACCCUCCUCAAGCACCGACUCCUCUGCGGCGAGCCGACUACGCUUGACGAGCUACUGGUCAUAGCUGAUAAAUACGCCACAGCCGAUUCCUCGAUGAAGACCGAGCUUCGAGUAGACGCCUCCGGGAAGGUGCUCGCUCCGAGUCCCAAGACGCCGGCUGGAGAAUCCAGCCGACGCCCGCACCAGAACGACCAUGAAAGUGCAACUAUCCCUAGGUGGUUUUGGUAAUUCAUAACAACAUAUAGCUCAUUGAGCUAAUGCUAUUCCAAGAUGACUAUUUCAGGAAAGCUCAAUGAUUGGCAUGGCAUGGAUGUGAAAGUGGAACCCUCAAAAUGCUAAGGACAAAGGAUUGGCUCAAGCUCAAAAGCUCAAGACUCUUCAUUUUAUAUUUUAGUGAUCCAAGAUCACAUUGAGUCUUUAGGAAAAGCCAAUACUAUCAAGGAGGGAUGAGGUGUUGCUUAAUGAGCCUCUUGCUUCAUGUGCUUAGUGAUAUGCUCCAAAACCCUCAACUACUUUCCCAUAUCCACAUAUGACCUAAACCCUAAGCCAAACUCGGUCCUACCGAUUCUUUCUAUCCGGUGCCACCGAGUUUCACUUGUCAUAAGCCACUGCCAAACCCUAGCAAUUCGGUUCUACCGGUAGGGAUCUCGGUCUCACCGAGAUGGGAUUGCAAACUCUUUGUUUCCCUUUCGUAACUUUUCGGUCUCACCGAAGAGCGAAUCGGUCCCACCGAGAUUGUAGUGUAAACUCUCUAUUUCCUUUUUGUAACUUUUCGGUCUCACCGAAAGAGCAAAUCGGUCCCACCGAGUUUACCUGACCAACUCUUUGGUUAGCUUAUUACCAAACUCGGUCUCACCGAGUUUGUGUAAUCGGUCUCACCGAGAUUACGUUAUGCCCAAACCCUAACCAUAUCGGUCCUACCGAGUUGCAUGUCAGUCCCACCGAAAAUCUCUAACGGUCACUAGGUUUACCUUUUCGGUCCGACCGAGUUUGUUGAUUUGGUCCCACCGAGAUUGGAAAGCUGUGUGUAACGGUUGGAUUUUGUGUGGAGGCUAUAUAUACCCCUCCACCUCCUCUUCAUUCAUGGAGAGAUCCAUUAGAACACAUACACAAUUCCCACUCAUAUGUUCUGAGAGAGAACCACCUACUCAUGUGUUGAGACCAAGAUAUUCCAUUCCUACCAUAUGAAUCUUGAUCUCUAGCCUUCCCCAAGUUGCUUUCCACUCAAAUCUUCUUUCCACAAAAUCCAAAUCCUAUGAGAGAGAGUUGAGUGUUGGGGAGACUAUCAUUUGAAGCACAAGAGCAAGGAGUUCAUCAUCAACACACCAUUUGUUACUUCUUGGAGAGUGGUGUCUCCUAGAUUGGUUAGGUGUCACUUGGGAGCCUCCGACAAGAUUGUGGAGUUGAACCAAGGAGUUUGUAAGGGCAAGGAGAUCACCUACUUCGUGAAGAUCUACCGCUAGUGAGGCAAGUCCUUCAUGGGCGAUGGCCAUGGUGGGAUAGACAAGGUUGCUACUUCGUGGACCCUUCGUGGGUGGAGCCCUCCGUGGACUCGCGCGACCGUUACCCUUCAUGGGUUGAAGUCUCCAUCAACGUGGAUGUAGGAUAGCACCACCUAUCCGAACCACGGGAAAAACAUCCGUGUCUCCAAUUGCGUUUGAAUUCUCCAAACCCUUCCCUUUACAUUCUUGCAAGUUGCAUGCUUUACUUUCCGCUGCCAAUAUACUCUUUGCAUGCUUGCUUGAAUUGUGUGAUGAUUGCUUGACUUGUCCUACAAUAGCUAAAAUCUGCCAAGAACUAAAAUUGGGAAAAGGUUAAGUUUUUAUUUGGUCAAGUAGUCUAAUCACCCCCCUCUAGACAUACUUUCGAUCCUACAAGUGGUAUCAGAGCUUUGGUCUCCAUUUUCUUUGAUCUCCAUAGCUUUUGGUGGUCAUAGCCUUGGUUUCACAACCUAGGAGAGUAUGGCGUCUAGCGAGGGAAAUUAUCACCGUAGAGGUCCUUACUUUGAUGGUACUAAUUUUGCUAGUUGGAAGCAUAAAAUGAAAAUGCAUAUUCUUGGACAUAACCCCGCCGUUUGGGCUAUUGUGUGUGUUGGUUUGCAAGGUGACUUCUUUGAUGGGAAAGAACCAAACCGUGAAGCUACCGCGGAUGAGUUGAAGAUGUUGCAAUACAAUGCUCAAGCUUGUGAUAUUCUCUUCAACAGAUUGUGCCCCGAAGAAUUCAACAAAAUCAGCCGUCUUGAGAAUGCAAAGGAAAUUUGGGACACUUUGAUUGAUAUGCACGAAGGUACCGACUCCGUCAAGGAAUCCUAGUUGGAUGUGCUUCAAAGUCAACUUGACAAGUUCAAAAUGAAGGAUGGUGAAGGUGUCGCUGAAAUGUACUCUAGGCUUGCUCUCAUCACAAAUGAGAUUGCCGGCUUAGGAAGUGAAGAGAUGACCGAUAGAUUCAUCAUCAAGAAGAUUCUAAGAGCCUUGGAUGGAAAAUAUGAUACCGUGUGCACAUUGAUCCAAAUGAUGCCCAAUUACAAAGAUCUCAAGCCAACGGAGGUGAUUGGAAGAAUUGUUGCUCAUGAGAUGUCACGUACGGAUAAAGAGGAACUUCACAACAAAUCUAGUGGUGCCUACAAAGCCUCAUGUGAAGCCCCUACAUCAUCAACUGAGAAACAAAACUUCAAUGAAGAAUUGAGCAUAAUGGUGAAGAACUUCAACAAGUUCUACAAGAGUAGAAGCAAAGAUAGAAGCUUCAAGUCAAGGUCCUACAAUGACAAAAGAUUUUCUAGUCGAGAGUGAAACUGCUACAGUUGCGGAAGACCCGGACACUAUUCCAAUGAGUGUAUGGCUCCCUACAAGAGAAGAGAAGAUUCUCCAAAAAGAAGAAGCAAAGAAUCACCACCAAGAGAGAGAAGGAGUAGAGAUGAUCAUUAUGAACGAAGAUACUCACGGAGAAGCAAGGAUUCGGAAAGGAAGGAAAAAUCAUCAAGGAGCUACACAAAAUGAAGACAUCAAGCUCAUGUUGGUGAAUGGGUAUCCGGCUCCAACUCCGACAGCCACUCCGAGAGAAGUUAUCACUCCGACUCCGAAGAUACUCAAGAUGAAGGUGUUGCCGGUCUAGCACUUGUGUCAACCAACUCCUACGACAUAUUUGACUCACCAAAUGAAGGAAUUGGAAGAUGCUUCAUGGCCAAAGGUCCUAAGGUAACACACCCCGAGUAUGUUGAUUUCAAUAGUGAUGAAGAUGACUUGUUAGGUGAUGAUUUGCUUGUUGACAACUCUAGUGAUGAAUACUAUGAUGAAACGUCAAUUAAUCAUGCUAAUCAAGAUAAAACGAAUGACAAUGAUAAGGAGAAGAUUGAGGCUCUAACUAAAGAACUAAACACUCUUAAGUUAGCUCAUGAAACUAUCUUCGAAGAUCAUCGAGAACUUUUAAGAGCUCAUGAGAAAUUACGCUUUGAAAAGCUCAAUCUUGAGCAAGAGCAUGAGUUCUUAAAAGCAAUCAAUGAUGAUCUCCGCAAGAAAAGUUCUUCUUACAUUGCCAAGCGUUUACUCUUAUCCACUUACAUGCCUCAAGUCAAGUCUAGUAACAAGAACAAGAAAGAUUCUUCCUCUAGCAGUAACAAUGAUCAUGCUAAAUCCAAUAUUGUUGCUUCUAGUAGUUCUCUUGAUUCCACUAAUGAUUCUCUUAGCCAAGUUACACUUGAUCAAGAAAAUAGCUUAUUGAAGGGAAUUAUAGAGAAAGGAGUGUACAAAAGCCUUGUCGGGAGUAAGCAAUUCGAGGAAAUUGUGCGCAAGCAAGGAAUGCACCGGAAGAAUCAAGGUGUUGGUUUUGAACGAAAGUUUAAUGCCAAUGGAGUUGAGUGGGAAGAAGAUCAAUACCCCAAGACAAAGUUUGUUCCUCAACAAGAGAAGUAUGAUACUUCUUUCAAGGGGACACAAGCUCAAGAUGAUCUUCCACCACAAGACUACAAGCAAAAAGGCAAGGACAAGCUUCAAGAGGAAAUUGAUGCAUUUGAAGAAGCUCCUAAGACCUUAGUCAAGUGGAUUCCCAAGACUACUUCAAGUUCCACUUCAUCAAGUACGACUACAACUCCAAGGAUUCCCAUCAAGAUGGUGUGGAUCCAAAAGAAGAAGAACUAGAGAGUUCUUGAGGGUGACUCCGCCAACAUACUUCACUCUUAUCAUUUUGGCAAGAACAAGUGCAAUCAACUUCCACAUCUUGCACUAGUUCAAGGAGUCACAAACCCUCUUGUUGGUAAGACAAGGGACAAGGUAACCUAAAAGUUUUCAUGGACAUCAUCUUGUGUGUGCAUCACUCUAUGUCUAUGGAUAUUCUUGUUUGUUUCUUGUGGGACUAACCCAUGUAGGUAUUGAAAGUGCAAUUCACUCAAAUGGAUAGCUCCAAGUGAUCUACAUCAACAUUGAGCAUCCACAUCUUCAACAUCUACAUGAAGUCAUCAUCGACAAAACCCGAGGUUAGUUCAUCCCUCUAAGGGGGGAUAUCACAUCUAGGGGGAGCUUUACUCUAAGACUUGAGCUAAAGCAACUCUAAAGAUAUGAACACAACAAUGCUUUAUGUAAAAGUGGUAACCCCACUUGAGCUUAAGCGAUGAGUAUGACCUAUGAUCAAGUGUUCUCACUUGACUCCUAAGUCAAUAUACUCAUAUAUAGAUGACCUUGUCAUCGCAAAUUGCUUGAUAGAUGCUAGAAUUGGUUGUGCAUGCCUUGUCACAUAUUUCAUUUGCCAUCUUAUUGUGUGAGCAUGCUGGUUGCAUAUUUUACUCAUUCGAGGACAUCCACUUGUUGUUUUGAUUGUUUGGUUUUAUUUCCUUUUGCCAAGUGGAUGGACAAGAAUGCCUAAGAACCUCCUCUAGCUAUCUAUGCUUUUCUCGUCUCAAACUCUAUUCAUGCUACAUCACAAAAUUUGAUCAAGUCAGAUUCGAACCACUCUGUGUGAGGAGCGCUCGGAGUCCCCGAUUCGUCAUAGACUUAAACUUCCAAAACCUCUUUAUGAUUCUCGGUCUGACCGAUACCCUACUUUCAGUCCUACCGAGAUCAUUAAGUUGAUCUAGGUUUUCGAUCUCGGUGCAACCGAUUUGAACCAUUCGGUCACAAUGAGUUGCAACAACUGUAUACAGUUUUGCAUCUCGGUGCCACCGAGUUGUUUCACUCGGUCACACCGACAGGGUCGGGCUAUAUAUAGUCACGGGCAAAAAUUUGGAAAUUUCUCCGAACCCCUUCGCCCGUGCGAUAGCCUGCUCUGCAAACUUGGUCUUCGGAUCGUCCCCUCGCCGCCAGCCGCCUCCAGUCGCUGGUCUCCGUCGCCGUCAACAGAAAUUCAACCCCGCCGUUGCCGCCGUAGCGAGUCUCCGCCGAACUAGGGUAUGGACUCGAUCUUUGUGCUAUUCUCCAAUCCGAUUCUUAGCACAUUGUGAUCAUCAUGAUUCUUGCCACGUUUGUUAAACUUCUAUCCAGUCAAUGAACUCGUAGAUUAGGUUUAAUUCGAAAAUUUUAGGGUUAGGUUUCCGCCGAAACCAUCUCGGACCCACCGAGUUGAAAAACUCGGUCCCACCGAUUUGGCUUAUGCCAUUGCACAAGUGAGACUCGGUCUGACCGAGAAUUACUUAUCGGUGUGACCGAUUUUGGAACUCUAUGAAACCCUAGCAGUCUCGGUGCCACCAAACUGUGACUCGGUCUAACCGAGUUCACUAGUUUAGGUGCCAAAAC